rnacentral:lncRNA from 1 species
UUCAGAGUUGAAGGAAGUAUUUUCUUGCCUAGAUACUUCCGAUCCUGAUUACAAAGAGGCUCCAUCCAUGGAAGACUGGAAGCGGGUUGACAUUAUAUGCACGUACUUGAAACCUCUUUUUGAUGCAGCCAACUUCCUUGCCUCUAGAACUAACCCAAACCAGAAGACAUUCUUCCACGAAGUCUGGAAGAUGCAUGAGCUGUAUCAUUCUAUUACAAGUCAUGGGGAUCCCUUUGUCAUCAGUCUUGCUGAAAUAAUGCAAGAAAAGAUAGACAAAUAUUUGAAGGAUUGCAUCCUAGCUUUGGCAAUUGCUGUAGUCUUGGAUCCUCGGUUUAGGAUGAAGUUGAUCGAGUUCAGUUUUGUGAAAUUCUAUGGUAAAGAAGCUGGCAAAUACAUUAAGAUUGUUGAUGAUGCGCUCCAUGAGCUUUUUCUCGAAUAUGCGGCGCUUCCUCUCCCUCUUACGCCAGCUCAUGCUGAAGAUGGAAAUUUUGAGAACAUGAAGACUGAAGAAAUUUCAUACAAUGAGCUCACAGAUUUUGAUGCGUAUGUGGAGACUACUAGCCAAAAUAUGAAGUCGGAGCUGGAGCAGUAUUUAGAAGAGUCUUUGUUGCCUCGCUUCCAAGAGAUGGAUGUACUGAAAUGGUGGGAAGAGAACAAGCUCCAAUAUCCAGUUCUUUCAAAAAUGGCUCGUGAUAUAUUGACCAUGCAGGUGUCUACUGCUGAUCCUGACUCUAUAUUUGAUACCGAGAUCAAAGAGCUGGAUGAGUAUCGGAGUUCUUUGAGACCUGAAGCCGUGGAAGCCCUUGUGUGUGCGAAGGACUGGCUUCAGUACAGAUCUUCUACACAAGUUUCUAAUGCUCUUGUGAAAGUAGAGGAUCUUAGAUCUUAGUGCUUAGUGUCUGACUAUAGGUUCCUUGUUAGUCUCGAUUAUAAUCUUCUACUUCUACAUUAGGCUAGAUUUUGAUCUAGAUUGUUUGAACACGAGAACUUCAGUUUUUACAGUAGCUUUUCUGAUUCUACGAGUUCCUUCUACUUUGUUUGCUGUGCUUUGUUUGCUGUGGCUUUGCAAUUAUCUAUUGUCAAGGUGCUGGGACUAAUUAUUGAUGUCCAACCAACCACAUAAUUGAGAAUCAAACCUGUAACAGGAGAAACAAAGGCUCUGAGGGUGCUCUCUUUUUCAUUUGACCACAAAUUGGAAAUUUCCUGUUUUAUUUUAGGUUACAGGCAAAUCCUUUUUCUUUUAGAUCAUACAUUCAUUGAAAUUAUGGUUGAUUUGUCUUUGCAUCUUUUUUUAGGAGUUAAAGACAGAAGAGAGAGAAGCAAGGAAGGCCAAGUCGGGUAUCUUUGAAUUAAUAGAAAAUGGAAUCUUUGAAUCUAUUAAUAUCAGAUAUAUUGUUUCUUGGGUUUUUGUUUUUUGGAGUGAAGUGAACAUUAACCAGGAUCUAUUUUUUUUUCAUUUACAUUUGGGUGUUUGUAGUGGUGAUGCUUUUUUAACCAAUUCAUAAUUUAUUUAGUAAUUUUUUUUAAACUUCUCCUUUAUAAAUUGCAGGUUAGAGUCUGUAGAGAAAAGUCGACAGAUCAUAUAUAUGCUAUAAAGAAGCUUGAGAAAUUAUAGAUGCCUUGUUGAGGCCAGGUAUGUGAUUUUGUUAAGCUUUCCUAACAAUUUUAUUGGAUUUCUUUUUCAUUAUAUGCUUAUUUCCGAUUUGGAUCUAAAUGUUCAAGUUAAACAUUUGAAAGUAGAAAUGAUUCACAAAUUAUUUUAGAUUGAAGUUCUCAAUUCGACGGAUAAGCCAGGGUUUUGAGCACAUCUAUGACUACAAUUUAAAUAGACUUUGAAAUAUGAUUUUGAAUCUUUCCGUGGAGUGAUUUUUUUAUCGUUCACAAUUUUAAUUUCUUUUAAGUUUUCGUGGAUUGUUUUUGAGAUAAUAAUGAAGGCAAGGUGAAUCAAAAUUUUUAGUGUCAUUGUCAAUUAUAACCUUAGUUUAAUCUUCUAUGAUUCUAAUUACUACUGAUAUAUUUAUUGGUUUUUUUCCUUUUUGUCUCUGACAUGUCUUUUGGUUAUUUGGUUAUUGUGCCCAUAAUUAUUUUACAAUGAACCAUCCAGGAUUAAAUUAUUGCAUUAUCUAGUGGCUCUUAAUCAACCAUUUUUUUAAAGUUUUUUUUUCUUCCAUAAGUGGAUGGUAUUCAGGUGGGGUGUUCAUAUUGUUGAAAUAUUUGACUCAGUGUGCUACUGUCUCUAUAUUAUAAGAGUGCAGUGCUUUAGGUAUUUUCAUUCGAAUGAACAAGUUUCAUAAAUUACAUGAAAAAUAUUUUUUAUGUCCUCAUCUUGCCUUUUCACAAUUUGGUUUUUUUGUUCUAAUAGUUGGAGGUGCUAGGUGUGCAGUUAUUUGUGCAUGGUUUUAAUCAACUCCUUAUAGGGACCAUACUCCAUAAGUUUGAUACGCCUUUUUUUUUCACAUGUUGCAAGGUUGUUUUGCUUUCUCCUGUUUUGAGAAUUCAACAGAAUUUAUACUUUUGAAUUUAGCCUUUGAAAAUGACAUCACUUUUAGAUCCAUACGCACUUUGCAUCCCACAACUUAUGUAUACCUGAUAAAAGAAAAAUGGGGGGGGGGGGGGGUGUUAAUGAAAUAAAUAAAAGACGUAUGCCUUGACUAUUUCUUUCAAUACAUAAGAUAAUUAUAUUCUAAGACAAAAAAAAAUAGUUAAAAUCAAUAAAAUAAACUUGCUGGACUAUUUUCUCUUGUCCUUGCAAGCCACGACUUUAUAUUGUGGCUUAAGAUGCGCCUCAACUCUGCUUGGAUCCAACCACUUUAGAGGAUGGAGAUUGAAAAACAUUCAAUGAGGGACCAUAACCUGUAAGGUAAAAAACACUCCACAUGAGAAAAUUAGCACCAUCGUUUGAAACAAUCUAAAACCAAAGCAACACAAAAACCUUCUCUUCUUUUCUGUCUUUUUUAAGGUUUCUCUCAGUUUUAAUUUUGUUUUUUUAGGUUAACAUAAAAAGAAAGAUUAUUCAAAUAAAGAUAGGACCUUGAUGGCCAAAAAAUCCUCUUUUUUGAUCCUUUCUAUGGUGUAUGUCAGUGCUUACUCAUUCGAGGAUAUUGUGUAUUCAAUUCUUAAAAUGGGUUGAUUCUUGUUCAAUUAGAGAUAUGAAUUUAGUCCCUUUCUUUCUUUCUUUCUCCGUUUAAAAUCUUGAAAUUGAACUCAAUAGUUACUUGGGCUCUUAUUCUUCUUGUUGAUAUUGUUUUGUAAUUCCAAAGGGUUACUGGAAUUAAUACUGUCUGUGUUUUAAGAUUUGAAGAGUCUCUGGCAUUAUGGAUCUGUCUCCAUUCAAGUUGGACAUUGAUGAGCUUAUAAAUGAGUUUGUUGAGGUGUUUACUUGGAUUUGUUAUCUUGGGCUGUUUUUGCUUUGUUUAGCUAUUGUUUUUCAGGAAGGUUAUUUUGUUUUGAUUGUUUUAACAGUUGUGGUGUUCGGGAACUGUUAGGGUGAGUUUACAACUUUGGCUGAUAUGAAAAGAGUAUGGCUUUCCAGGAAGUUUACCUACAUCUUUGAGGCUAGUUCUCCUACCAAAUUGGCCUUCAUAAUGCAGUCGCUGUAUGCUCAUACAAUUGGUGAGCUCUCACCGACAUGAUUUUUGUAUUGUCAUUGAAUCAAAUAAUGUUCUGUGCUAGAAUCCAGUUUGUCGUCGUGAGUUUGUCUUCAGUUAAAAAAUUGUUGCCCUGGUUAUAUUUUAUAAAGCCCGUUUCUGGUAAUGGACAAGUCCCAUCUGGGGCUGGAUAGUUUUUGGAUCAUGUUGCCAUCUCAUCAUAUUUCUUGAGACAUAUGUAAGCGAGAGCUUGUUUAAUCUUACCAUGCUCAUAGUGAAUUUAGAUGAUUGUCUCCUUGAAAGUAAAUCAAGGAUUUUUUUCUGGUAAUGGACAAGUCCCUUCUUUAUGGGGUCACUCUUGUAUUCAGCCAUGAACAAACUGGGUUUUUGCAUUGUAUUGUCAGUGUCGUUGUGAUUAAUUUCUUUCAUUGGUUUGACUUUUAGGUUUAAAGUGAACAUGCUUAAGGGUUUUUCUUUGUGUGAACUCUCUCUCAUUUGGAAGCAUUUUAUUGCUUUUGAUCAUGCUUGAUCAUGCUUGAUCAUGUUGAGGUGAAUUUAGUGAUGAUAGUAAUAAUGAAGUUAUGAUUAACUGAAGUUUUGUUUUUCCUUCUCCUUUUCACCAUCUUAUUUCUUCAUGUUAUCUGACAGGAGAGUUGAAGAAACUCAAGACCCUUGUUAUAAAUGCAAAAGAACAUGGAAUAAAAGGAGUACCUGCUUUGGUCAAAAGGAUGCUAGAAAAGAACAUGUUUCUUUUUGGGUUCGUGGAUUUACAUGAAGGUUCUGUCAGUGAGACAGGGAACCAACUCACAGAAUUGCAAGAUGCCCGUGUGCAAGUUGCAUAUAAGAAGUAUGUUUUCUAAGAAUGAUAUAAUUUAUUCCAAUCUAAUAUAAUAGCAUGAUUAGGCAGGUUUCAGGUUUCAAAACAUUCUAUGGAUCCUCUUAUUGCUCCACUGCUUUCUUUAUAACAGGUUGUUUGAUGAUAUUCGGAUUGAGCAAUUCCUCCAUAUGGACAUGGUGGUAUGUUGCAUAACUCAUGUAAAGGUUUUACUCAGGUUCCACUAGAUCAAUAGUUGCAAAUAGGCCCCGCCUUUUCCUAUUUUGAAAAUAGAUACCUGUAGGUAUAAUGAUUGUACGAUGCUCACAGUUGGUGCCAUGGUUUUCCUCUUUUUUUUUUUCUUUCUUCAGAAUAAGCUUGUGGAUUGAAUUGCAUCUGCAUCUGCAGGGUAUGUAAUUUGAUUUAGAGAUGCUCAAGAAAAUGUUAACAGAAUAUGCAGAGGCGAAGAAACAUGUCAACAGAGGUAUGUUCUUUUAUCCAUCUCAUGUCCUUAUUUAAAAGUUAUAGACUGAAUAAGCAUCAAAUAGUGAAAGUAACAUGUGUAUUUUUCCUUAAUAUAGCUGUUUGAUAUUGUGGUAGCUGUUGUGGUUGUGGUUUGAAAAAGUUGUUUUAUAAAAAGUAAUUUUGAUUGAGGUUGAUUUGGUAUUUAUGAAUGUUUGGUUAAAACUGUGGUUGAAAAUGAGGUUGAAUAAAAAAUAGUUUAAUGUAUUUGGUUAAUAAUGCUUUUGAAAUUGAGGUUAUAAAAUAAUUUUAAAAAAUAUAUAUUAAUAUUGAUGAUUUUUAAUUUAAAUAUUGUAGAUUUAACUAUUGUUAUUACAUCAUGAAAUAAAUAAUACUUUAUAUAAAAUAUUUUUUAUUGUUUCAUUAAACUAUCUACAAUUCCAUCACGUAUGAAAUACAUCCGACAAGGAUUACAGUUUUUUUGGUAUCUUAAGCGCGCAACAUCAGGUAAAAUAUAAUCAGGAACAAAAUUGGGAUUGCGAUCAAAUUCUGCAAAUGCUACGUCAUCAAGUGAUCUCUGUCUAAUUUAUGUAGUGUCAUUGAAUAAUGUUAAACACUAGUGUUUCGAAUAUAACACAAUUAAAAAAUAAAAAAUAAUUUUAUUAUUUUUUACUGGGUCGGACCUGGUUCAAUGCAUUUUGAGCUUUGAACCGGAACCGGUCCAACCGGAACAGUGGAGCUGGCUACACUGUUUAUGCUAAUUAAUUAGCAUGAACAGUGCGCAAGAAGCAGCAAUUGCUUGCUUUUCUUUCCCCUGCGUUUCGGACGCAAAACACUGUGGGACCCAUAAACAGUAAACUGGGUUUUUUCCUUAACCAAACAGGUUGCAUCUGCGUUUUAAACAAAACGCAGACGCAACCUCAUUACCAAAUGGCCUCGAAUCCAUAAGAGUUUGUGUUUAUUCUUAUUGUCGAUUUGUUACUCAACCCAAAAAUUUCUCUCUGAUUCUUAUCCACAUCAUUUAUGGUGCUGUAUAAACUUUGAAGCACAUAUCAAUUAAUACUAUCUAAACAUGUUAAAUAUGCUUGGUCCAGAUAUCAUGGAGUCUCCAAUUUAUAUUUCCCUUUUAAAAUUCUUUCAGUAUCUAAUGACGUAUUUAAUUUACCACUUUUUUUUUUCAGAAGCAAGCAAGGCAGUAGAUGUCCAAAACAUACAGCAUAUAUCAUAUGAUAGGGAAUUUAUUUGAGAUGAAGUUGAGAGGAUCACAGAGAACUGGAACGUCCAAAGGCAAGUGUUUUAUCAGCAAACAGGACUGAAUCAACGUCAUGCUCAGAAAGAUGAGCAACAACAUCAACCACAGCACAAAAAACAUGAACAACACGAUGAUGAUUUUGGUGAUGAAUUUUGUCAUCAACUGGAACUGCAACUAACUGAAGAAGAACAGCUACAACAAAAACAAGAGGAUGAUGAAUGUAAUCAUGAAUUGGAGCUGUAACUUUCUGUAAAACAACUCUAAUAAUGUAGCAACAAAAUGGUGAGGAAUUAUGCUACAAAAACCAGGACAAAUAGGAAUCCCAUGGUUUAGGACAUAAUUAUCUAGCAAGGUGAUCAUUCCAAUCUGCGGAAUUUUGUGAUUAGACUGCUGCAAUUUGAACCUCCCUUCAAGACUAUCCCCAGGACUUUUUCAGUUUAUGAAAGAGAAAACUGAUUGGUUUUCUGGAUAGGUUUCUCAAGCUACUGUAUUUAUUAUCAAAACACAAAAAGGAUCUCUCUGUAUAAAACGUUUGUCAGUAUAUGUUGAGAAUGGCAUCUUGAAACAACUAGAGUCAUUUUUAAUGUUAUUCUUUGCCAUUGGUCUGCAUCCCCAUGAAGUCUAUAAACCUAGCUUUUCCAGUUCUGUUAGGCCCCUUGUCCCACCCUUCCAGUACCAAGAAUUUUGUUUUCCUGUUCAUGCCAUACAUGUCUAUUGUUGAUUUUAAGUGCAGAUAAAGUUCAGAUUGGGUUUCUGUCGUUUAUUUUGGUCCACUGGAUUCUUGUUAGUGUCACAAUCAUCUCAGGAUUAUUCAAUACGUUUCAUUACAAUACCUCAUGAAUCAUGCUUUACUGAAGGAAGCAAUUGAAGUGUAUUCCCUUUUCUUUUAUGGUUUCCAGCUGUUCUCUUUUAUGUUGAUUAAUAAAAAGAGGAAACAUUAGUUGUGUGUUGACUAUCACCAUUUUCAAUGAUUCAGAUUAUAUCAAACGGCAUGGAGAUGGAUUUUUGCAAGAGUCUUUUAAGUUGUUUGAGCUUAGUUCAGAGCAGAGUAUUAAUUAAACUGUUAGGUAGCAGAAUUCUUAAUUGACCAUUCCCCCUCAAUUCCUCACAUGAUUACAUGAACUAGUAAACUACAAAAGCAAUAAAAUUAGAGGGGAAACAUGUAAGUAUAAUAAAUAUCCCAAUACCCAAACCUUCCAAGUAGCCCUUAACUCUUUUCUAAAUGAAUUUUCCUAUGACUCAAUCUCAACAACAUGAAAUUUGCCCUUCUCACGCAAGCUAUCCAAGCUAAAACCAACCAACCUAGAAUUCAAAUUAUACACAAAAUCAACCACAUUUGAGUCCACAAUGCACUUCCUUGGCUUAGCAGAUGAAUAAGCACCAAACUUGCCACAUCCUUUAACCUCUAUGCAAACUUUCACAACUAAUUCAUCGCUAUAGUUCCCUACCCUCUUCAGUCACACCACUACUUUCACCCCUGUAUCCAUCAUCAAGCUCUGAUAAUUCAACACCACCUUUCACUUCAAACUUUAGCCCCUUAAUGGCUCCACCUGCAUUGAACAUGUUGGUUAGCCCCAGGGGUGCAAAGCUGAACCCAGUUGCUAAAACCUUGAUGUGUGUUACAGUGAAUAUGCCAUGCUCAAGGACUUUGAGUGACACUGGCAAGGCUGCAUUGUAAAGGAGGGUGAUUAGUUAUCCCGUCCGGUGACAAUAGAAAACACAAUUGUCAUCCCAGUUGUUGCUACCCAAUUUUUGAUCCAUGUUUUGAUAAAUUUUUCAGAAAAAUUCAAAAAUAGCGAAAAACAAUGAAAAUAAAAAAAAUACGUUUUUUAAUAUAUUUGCAUCAUUUUUAGCAUUUUCAGCAUCGUCUUAAAAGAAUUUAAUUUUUCAAAGGUCUUUAAAGCGCGUUCAACUUUUAACGCGUUAUUUUUAAAAAAUCAAUAAUUUUCCUCAUUUCGAGUCGAUGUUGAUAAGAAAAAUCUAAAAAAAUAAAAAAAAUCAAAUUUACAAAAAAAAAAGUUGAGGGACUAAGUUUGGUGACCUAGCAACAUUUUUGCCUAUAAAUAGGAGUUUCCAACACAUACAAAAGGGAAGGGGGCAAUUUUGAAAAAACAAAAAAAAAAACCCUAAACCUAAACCUUCACAGUGCAGGCCUCUGCCCCCUUCCUUUGGUUUCUCUCCCAAAACCAGCCAAAGGAAAGCAGCCCCACAGGCCGCUCUCCAUUUCCUUCCCCCCAUUUCCUCUCAUCUUCAACCUAUAGCACAACAACCCCAUUUUCCUCCACAACAGCCAGCAUUCCCUUUAUCCUCUCCUCUCCCCCGGCUUGCUCUUCUUCUUCACCCAUAGAAGUCAGCCGCCGCUACACCUCCAUCUCCCACAUCGGACAAGCUCCCCUCCUCCAGCCGUUCCUCCAGCGCCCACAGACCCAACAACACAGAAGCUCCCUCCUUGGCAGCAUCUUCUUCUUCGGUCUUCUCAACAGUAAACGACCAAAACAACAGCCCGAAGCCAACCCAACUGCAACACCCCCCUCUCGGCCGUUCAGCCUGGGAGCCGCCUACCACCCGAAGCGAAAGGGAGGAAGACGGAAACCAAAGAAGGAUCUGUGGUGAAAUGGAUCUGAAAGGAGAGAGACAAAUCUGAAAAACAAAGAAAUAAAAACCUAAAAUCAACUGUUUGUGCGUUUUUCUCCUUGUUGCAAGUGGCGGUGACCUUCACAGACAGCGUAGGAAGACAAAGAAGAAGAAGACGUUCCCGAUCCACGGUUUUAUUGCCUUUAUCGGCGGUGGCGUGUGAACCCAUGCGCCACCAGUGGUGGUGGCGCGUGGAGCAACACGCCGCUACUGUUUCUGCAGUUUCAGAGGGCUUCCCAGCACUGUUCCUGAAUUUUUUAGGGUUCAUUUCAUAAAUUUAAAAUUGUUUAAUGUGUUGUUUUGUUUAUUUUGAAUUUUUGAUUGAUUUGUAAUCAUGUAAUGGGUGUGUGCUUAAACAUAGUAAAAGGAAAGUGUUGGAGUGGGUGUUUUGUUAUUAUUUUUUAUGUAUGUCUUGUUUAUGUUAAAACUAAAAAGAAAUUUUAAUUUGCAUUGAAUUUGGUUCAUAUUUCAAAAAAUAUCAAAAAAUAUUUUUUCUUUUGGUAACUAGAUUAUAAUCUUAUAUGUAAGAUGCAUUUUUUAUAUUAAAUAGAAAAGUUUGUUUUGUUUUUAUUGAUGCUAGAGCAAUUAGGUUUUUUUAUCCGAUAAGAUAAGGAUCUCCUUACCGAGGAGAACUUUUCUUCUCUUUUUAAGAAAUCAUUGGCAAGACAACUUUCAAAACCUUUUAAAUUACAUCAAAUCGCGAAGCAGCUUACCUCAGGUAGGGUGCGUUAAGGGUGUUAAUACCUUCUCUAACCACAACCAGUUCCUUACCCGUGAAUCUCUAAUAAAGACCAGUAUAUCCGGGUUUCCUAGUAACCCUCAAGUAAAUACUAGGUGGCGACUCCCAAGAACCAACAAGCAAAUGAAUCAAAAAUCACCAAACGGACGCCACGCGGGCGACGUGCAACACCAAUUGGAGUCCGUGGCAGCUUCAAUGAUGAGGUGAACAUCACGACCCCUAAUAGUGCCUGUUAGGGUAUCAGUUGUGGUUUGGUGGAAAGCGUUCUUUAUUUCCGUGCUGCUCCAAGCUGCUCCUUGGCAAUUGUAGACACCUAAGACCCCUGUGAACUUGUUCAUGCUCAAUAUUUUCAAUAAGCUGCAAUCAAAGAAAAACUGUUUAAGAAAAUUCUCCAUAAUGCAACAUUUCUAGGAUAAGAAAUUAGCUAAAAUUCAGAUGAAAAUAUUUUCAUCAUGCUAGCUAGCUUAGAUGACGAAACUAUCAAGAAAAAAAAGAUUUAUCGCACUCCAUCACGAGAAGGGUCAGAGAACAAGUAGUCAGAGGUGGGCCUUCCAAGCAAACAAGCUCGAAGAAUAGACCCAUCGGGAAGUACCACCUUCUUUAGUAGCUCAAAGUUGUGCUUCCCAGGUGCAUCACUGCUCAUAAAAAAUGUUACCACAAACAUUUAGCAAAUGACAUAGCACAAAAAUAUUUGAUGAUAUCUUAAUUUAACAUUGAAAUUUUGAUUGAUGAUGAAGGACUAGGAUUUACUACCUGACAUAGAUGGGUCCACCACUAAUAGCCCUAGCAGAAGCAUGAUACUCUGCAGCUGUAUGUAAAGAAUGGAACAUGUCCCAAUCAGGCAGCAUGAACUCUCCUAAGAAAACACUGUUAUAUGUCACUGCUACUAUAUGAAUGGUGUGUGAUACUGGAUCACGCGGGUAGAAAUAAUCUGAUGCUCUCACCACUGCUGUUUGUUUGGAGAUGCGCCAUAAUGAUGCAACCAUAUUAUUCAAUAGUUUCACCCACAUUUAACUAGUGUUUUGCCUAUGUUUUAUAUAUAAAAUGCCUUGAUAUUCUUUGUUUUAUGUUUUGAAGGCACUUUUGGAUGAAAGAUGCAAAAAGGAGUAAAUUGGAGAUAAUUGGCAGAUUUGACCUUCAGUCGAUGUUUUGUGCAGAGCGUAAGCUCUAGAGGUUGAAAUGAAGUGAUUCUAGUGGAAUUAAAAAGAUAACAUCCAUACCUUUCUGGAAAUCUAAGUCAAGAAAAUAAAAUAAGGAAGAGCAUGAAAAUCGCAGCCUUCAAAGUCAAAUCUCGCAAUCUGCCAGUGUUGACCUUCGGCCAUUCCAACUUGAAUAUCUGGAGCUACAGAAGUCCAAUUGAUGCAAACUCAAUUUUUUUGGAUUCAUGACUCAAAUGUAUAUAAACGCUCCAAAUUUCAGCCAAAACCGAUGUCAUAUGAGGGAGAUAUGAUUUUUCAAAGAUGACAUCUGAAUUCUGCCAGCAAACAGGUUUCGUGAACAAAACGAGUCCAAAUUACGUUCCGAAGCAUCUAAACCGUGAUGAAGAUAGGAAGUUUUUAGAGAAUUGAGCUAAUUGAUAAACUUCAGAAUAGUAUGUAUUUCGUUAUUUUGAAUAAUACAACUGUUAACAUAUAUAUACACAGGAUUGCAGGUUUGAAUUUAGAAACAAAGCUAAGGUUGCGUCUUAGCAUUUACACUGCAUUUACAGUGAAGAUUUAUUUGUCGUUACAAGCUUGAUAUUAGGCUUGAGUGAUGGUUGCACAAUCCUGUGCAGGGGGCAAGGGAUUAUUUGCUGAAUCUGUGGGGAUUUCCUUUAUACGCUCCCGCAAGAUGGAUGAGCCAUCAGCUAAGCCAAUCUUGAGCAGUAAAGAAUGCAGACGUUGGGAAGACAGAGGCUUUGUUAGAAAAUCUGCCAGUUGGUCAUGAGUGUUGACAUGCUGAACAUUGAGAAUCUUCCUCUGAACCAUAUCACGGACAAAGUGGAGGUCUAUCUGAAUGUGUUUCAUCCGGGAAUGCUGAACUGGAUUGAAGCUGAGGUGUGUAGCGCCCAGGUUGUCACACAGCAGUCUUGGUGGAGAGGGAAUUGGGAGACAGAGUUCUUUGAACAGGGACAUCAACCAAACUGUUUCAGACGUAGUAGUGGCUAGUGAACGAUACUCAGCUUCAGUUGAGGACCUGACGACAGCCCGUUGUUUCUUAGAGCUCCACGAGAUGGGAUUGAUCCCCAGAAAUGUAAUGUAAGCUGAAGUAGAGGUGCGAUCAUCAUAAUUUCCAGCCCAGUCAGCAUUAGCAAAGGUGGUAACAUCAAAUGAAGACUGACGAUUUAUGUGAAUGCCAAGGAAAAUGGUUUUCUUCAGAUAGCGGAGCAAACAUUUGGCAGCAGACCAGUGAGUGACUGUGGGUUGAUGCAUGAAUUGUGACAACUUAUUAACGGCGAAGCAAAUGUCAGGACAAGUAAGGGACAAAUAUUGUAAACCACCGAUGAUACUUCGAAAUUCAGUGCUGUUGCAGGGUGCUGUGCUGUCAAGAAGCUUGAGCUGGACUGACGUGGACAUAGGAGAAGAGACAUCCUUAGCACCCUGCAUGUUGGUUUUGAAGAGAAGGUCCCAUAUGUAUUGAUGUUGCGAUAAGAACAACCCGUUUUUGGUGGGUAUAACAUCCAGCCCCAAAAAAUAAUGAAGUGUGCCCAAAUCUUUUAAUGAGAAUUGGAUGCAAAGUUGAUGAAUCACAUGAGUCAGGAAGGAUGGAGUGUUACCAGUGAUGACUAGAUCAUCCACGUAGACCAGCAGAUAACACAGAACAGCUGCACUGUGAUAGAUGAAUAGAGAAGGAUCGGCUUUGGAGUUGUGGAAUCCCAGUUUCAGAAUGGCCUGUUGUAGAGCAGAAUACCAGGCACGAGGGGCCUGUUUGAGGCCAUAAAUUGCCUUGUUUAACCGACAGACAUGAUGUGGAGUGGUGGUAUCUUGGAACCCUGGUGGCUGUGACAUAUAAACUGUUUCAUGCAGGUUCCCAUGCAGAAAGGCGUUGUUUACAUCUAGUUGCCGCAAUGACCAGCCGUGCAUGACAGCCAUGGUGAGAACUGUUCUUAUGGUGGCAGGUUUCACAACAGGGCUGAACGUUUCACUGUAGUCCAGGCCAGACCGUUGAUGAUAUCCUUUUGCAAUCAAGCGGGCUUUAAACGGAGCUAUGGAACCAUUAGGAUGUUGUUUGACCCAAAAAACCCAUUUGCACCCAACUGGUUGGCAGUCAGGAGGAGGCGGUACCAACUCCCAUGUACCAUGCCUCAUGAGGGUUGUGAGUUCCUCAGACAUUGCUAAUCUCCAGUGUGGCUCACGGAGAGCCUGUCCCACACAAGUUGGCUCUGCAGUACUUGGGAGGGGGUGUUUUGUGGUGGUGUUAACUUGUUUGGGUUUGUAAAUGUUAUUCAUGGAACGGGUGACCAUUAAGUAAGCCCGGUUGGGUGCAGGAUGUGAGGGAUGAGGAGGUGAGGUGGGCGAAACUGCACAAAGAACUGAUGAGGAUGGGUUACAGAGAUCUGGCAGGGGAGAUGAGGCAGGUUGAAAAAUACUGGGGGCAGAACAUGCUGAAGGAGAAGAUGAAGAUGUGAGUUCAUGUUAAGUAAAAGACAGAGUGGGGGAUUCAUUACCUGAGUGAGCAGUGAGAAUGGGUACCCUUGCCGAAGUCACUGGUGGAGGCGUAGGAGGAGAUGAAGAAUUUCCAUGAACAGGGGAGGCACUUGUCGGGCUAGGUGUGAAAAAUUGGCUGGAGGGGAUACCAUUUUCAUUUUCAUGAAAGAUGACAUGGCGUGAUUGAUAUAGGCGGUUUGUCAGGGGAUCAAGACAACUGUAUGCAUUUUGUGUUAAGGAGUAUCCUACGAAAAUACAAGGAAUGGAUUUUGGUUGUAACUUGUUUGUGUUAUAUGGCCGGAUAAGAGGAAAACAAAGACAACCAAAUUUUUUUAGCUUUUUAUAAUUUGGAGAUUGUGUAAAUAAAAUUUCAAACGGUGAUUUAUGUUGGAGGAGAGGUGUGGGCUGAUGGUUAAUAAGGUAUGCAGCGGUGGAAAAGGCAUAGGGCCAAUACUGUAGUGGAAGGGACGCAUCAUGUAGUAAUGUGAGACCGGUUUCAACCAAGUGACGAUGAUGUCGCUCAGAAACACCGUUUUGUUGCGGUGUAUGAGGAGCUGUGGUGUAAUGACUGAUUCCAUUUGUUGUAAAAUAGUGUUUUAAGGCAACAAAUUCACCACCAUUAUCAGAGUAGACAGAUUUAAUUUUUAAUUGAAACCGGUUUUCAACAAGAUUUUUGAACUGGGGAAAGAUGAUGCGAACACUUGAUUUUGUUUCCAUAGGAUAAAACCAAAUGUAUUUCGUGAAAUGAUCAACAAAAAUUAGAUAGUAACGAGCCCCAGUGAUGCCAAUUGUACUUGAGGGACCCCACACAUCAAUAUAAAGUAAGUCAAGAGGAGCAUGACUCAAGAGACUAUUUUGACGAAAUGGUUGACGGUGAGCUUUAUUAAUAGAACAUGAUGAACAAAGAGAAAUAUUUUUUUUGUUGAUUGUUGGAAGGGAAAAAGAGUUGAUAAGGUGAGUAACCAAUUUAGGAGAUGGAUGCCCAAGACGUUUGUGCCAUCCGUCAAUAGAGAUUCUUUCAUGCACGUUAGCAACAAUGGUAGGAGAAGACUGCACCAUUGACUUCGGAAGGGUGUAUACACCAUUGUCACACGCUCCUCGGAACAGAACCGCUCCCGUAAUUUGGUCCUUAACAAGAAAGAAAGAGGGGUGAAGCUCAAUAAAAACAUGAUUUUGACGAGUAAAUUGAUGAGCAGAUAUGAGAUUUUUUUGUAUAUUAGGAACACAAAGGGUAUCAUUUAAAUGAAAGGUACGGUUGGGAGAUUGAAAAAGUAAGGAGCCAAUGUGAGAAACAGGCAAACCUGAACCAUCACCAAUAAUAACUUCGUCAGUGCCAUCGUAUUCUGAAUGAAUAGAUAGAUUAGCAAGAUCACCAGUAAUAUUAUGAGACGCGGCUGAGUCUAUAAGCCAUUUUGUAUCCUGUGCUGGUGAGGUGGAAGUACAGUUUGUUGUUGGUGUGUUGUACUGAAAACGACUGUAGUGUUUUGCAGUAUGACCCAUGCGGUCACACAGUUGGCACUUGGGAGAAAAACGACGUGGUCCAUAAUUUUUGUUGCUGUCUCUCGGGUUGCUAGGCUGGCGAUAGUGAGCUGGAGGUUUGUUUCUUUGGCCAUAUGACCUGUCAACGAAGUGGGGCUUUGGGGCAGAUUUAAAAGACUGAUUGUCUUGACCAUAAGAAGCCCGUCGGUGCAUGUAGUUUGCAGAAGCAAUUAGUGGAUGGGAGGAGACUUCAAGGCGACGAAGAUAUGCAUCAUGACUGACAAGGAGAUCAUGAAGUUCCUCAAAAGUGAGUGGUCGUUCUCGGGCGCGAAUAGGACCUGCAAUUUCACGAAAAUCAGUUCCCAGGCCAUUUAGGAUAUAGAGCGUUAGAUCAUCUUCAAAGAUUGGGUGAUCUAUGAGGGAGAUUUCAUCUGCCAACGAUUUUACAGAGUGAAGGUAUGUUUGAAUUGACUGGUUGCCCUUCUUUAUCAUUGUGAGUUCUUCUUUAAGUUGCAUUGCUCUGGUUCUGGACUUGCUUGCAUACAGAGUAUGUAAUUUAUGCCAUGCAUCCUUUGAUGUCUUGGCCAUUGAAAUGAGAGGAGUGAUGACGGUAGAUGUAGAUGUCAAAAUGGCACUGAGGAUAAGCUUAUCUUGCCUUAUCCAUUGAGUUCGUUGGACAGCACAAAUUGAUGUGCUGGUGGGUAUGGGACAGAUUUUUUCUCCAGUGACAUAGUCAAGAAGAUCAUACCCGAUGAGUAAGGCUUCAAAUUGAGCGCGCCAUUGAAGAAAUGUAGAGGGGGUAAGUUUAUCAUUUAUCUGGGAUGUGAUGUUGAGGGCAAUCAGGGGUGUUUCAGUUGGAGAGGGUGGAGUUGAGAUUGGAUUAUGAUUGUGAGGGAUCAAAUUCUCGUUGGAGAUUUCUUGCUCUGAUACCAUGAUGAAGAUAGGAAGUUUUUAGAGAAUUGAGCUAAUUGAUAAACUUCAGAAUAGUAUGUAUUUCGUUAUUUUGAAUAAUACAACUGUUAACAUAUAUAUACACAGGAUUGCAGGUUUGAAUUUAGAAACAAAGCUAAGGUUGCGUCUUAGCAUUUACAAUGCAUUUACAGUGAAGAUUUAUUUGCCGUUACAAGCUUGAUAUUAGGCUUGAGUGAUGGUUGCACAAUCCUGUGCAGGGGGCAAGGGAUUAUUUGCUGAAUCUGUGGGGAUUUCCUUUAUAAACCGAUAUCCAAGUUUUUAUUUCAGCAAUUUAGCUCCUCUAAGUCAAAGCUUGAAGAUUUCAUGCAAGGCUAUUUCUUCUUUUUUAGGAAAAUAGUUAUUGAAGUACUUAAAUGUAAACAGUCUACUUAAUGGAGGACUAUUUUGUAAAAUAGAGACCUAGGGUUUCCUAAGAUAUAAGCAGAAAAGAGGGAGAGCAGAAGGAGACAGCAGCCAGCAGAGAAUAAACACAAAUUCUCUCCUCUACAAACCCAAAAAUCAUGCUUUUUUCAUUCUUUAGAAGUAGUUGUUCAAUAGUUAUGCAAGACUAAGCUCUUUUCUUGGUUGCAAGGACACAACAAACCUUCGGAUUUCAAGAACCGUGAGAUUUAUUCUUCCUUUUAUUUUCAGUUUAUGUUAUGAAUGAGUAUGAUUGUUUUCCUAUGCAUAUUUCCUAUGAUUGUUAUUGAUGAUUGCUAGAGCGGACUCUAAGUUAUUGUUGUGAACAAUCUAUUGCUAAGUUUAAUAUCAAAACCGGAGUUGUGAUAUAUGAACUUGUGAAGCAACUAAGCUUGAUAAUUGUGGCGGAACUACGUUAUUGAAUUUAGGGAGAACAUUUGAACAAAGUGACACAAGCUGCGGACAGCUUGUAUGUUAAUCUUGAUGAAAUUAUCUAGUUCUUAAAGCUACCAUUAAAUUGAAUCAUUAGUGCGGACACUUUGAUUGUUUGUUGGUUAGGAUUAGUUAUACGGCGGAUCCGUUAAUUAAUCAACGUUAAGAAAAGAUAAAAUUUCAGAACAUAAACUGCAAUUUUCGUUUCAAGGAUCGGUUCUAAUUUCCGUUGGUGGAUGUGUGCUUGCGACCAAGAUUUGUUUUCUUGAUAAGUUUUGGUUUUAAUUGAUUUUGUUUGCUAGUUUAAUUGCUGCCAUAGUUUAGAUAAUCACAAACCAAAUCCCCCCCAAUUACAUAACGUACAACAUAAAAAUCUGACUUGAAACUUCCUCAUGGGAUCGACUCCUUACUUGCUCUAUACUAUCUUGUGUGUUUUAAGCUAGGUAAUUAAUUUGUGCGACCGCGACAUCGCAACACAUAACAUUUCAAUGCGCACCAUAUCACAUAAGGAAAAAGCCCCAAGCUUACCAAAAAAAUAAACAAGGUAAAGAAGAAAAAGGAAACUUACCAGUACAAGGCAUCAAUAUUGUGGUUCAUGCAAGCAAUGCAGCCAUUAUCAAGGAAGUUAUUAGCAACAGAAGCAUCGAGGGCCUGAUGAUAUUGCCUAGUCAAUUCAACCCUUCAUCCUAAUCCAGCACCAAGUGUCUCCAAAAUACAUUGAACAUCCACCUUAACCCCAUCGAUACCAGCUGCUGCCAAAUAACUAUGCAACUCAUUAUAAAACUUGGACACAUUUUUUGGAUUUACUAACCCUAAUCCCUACAACGCCAAUGCAUUGUUUUUCCAUGUGGGCUCAUUCUCCACCACCCCCUUUGACACCAUUGGAUACUUCAUCAUUGACCCAUAUUCCUCCAUCACCUUGACUCCUGGAUAGACCCCACCCCAAUAACCAGUAAUAGCAUGCCACACAUACACAUAUUUCAACCCGUGUUUUUCUUUAGCUGUAUUCACUAUGCUCUUGAUCCCCGCUGCUGGAUCAUCUUUCUUCUGGAACUUUGCGUUCUCUUUAAUCCCAGUCAACCUAAGCAACAGUUGCUGAUCUUAUUUCUUCACAUCUUGACAUUGGUUUCCUCUUCUGGGUCACCACCAACUAAUUGCCAUCCAUCAUCAAUGAUCACAAAUUUCGGCGGGGUACCACCAGAAGCUAGACUUUGUAGCCCAGCUUCUACCCCUUCUUGAGUCACUUCUUGAUAAAAGGCAUCCCAGGUACACCAACCAAAAUGAUCAAUAAUUCCAGGCAAUCCUUUCUCAUGCGUUUUUUCCCUUGACUAGCCGUUCUCCUCUUCUCUAUGCUCUCUACCUUCUCUUUUUUUUUUUUUAUUAUAUCCUAGGAAAUCCUAAUCUCUAUUUUACAAAAUAAUCCUCCCUUAAGUAAACAGUUUUCAUUUAAGUACUUCACUAACUAUUUUCGUAAAGAAGGAGAAAUAGCCUUGCAUGAAAUCUUCAAGCUUUGACUUAGAGGAGCUAAAUUGCUGAAAUAAAAACUUGGAUGUCGGUUUAGAUACUUCGGAACGCAAUUUGGACUCGUUUCUUCACGAAACCUAUUUGUUGGCAGAAUUCAGUUUUCAUCUUUGAAAAUUCAUAUCUCCCUCAUAUGACAUCUGUUUUGGCUAAAAUUUGGAGCAUGGAUAGCUCUUUGAGUCAGGAAUCUAAAACAAUUGAGUGUGCAUCAAUUGGACUUCUGUAGCUCCAGCUACUCAAGUUCGAAUGACUAAAGGUCAACACUGACAGAUUGCGAGAUUUUACUUUGAAGGCUGUGAUUUCCAUGCUCUUCCUUAUUUUAUUUACUUCACUGUAUUAGAAUCACUUCAUUUCGACCUCUAGAGCUCACGCUCUGCACAAAACAUCGACUGAAGGUUAAAUCUGCCAAUUACCUCAAAUUUACUCUUUUUUGCAUUUUUCAUCCAAAAGUGCCUUCAAAACAUAAAACAAAGAAUAUCAAGAUAUUUUAUAUAUAAAACAUAAGCAAAACACUAGUUAAAUGUAGGUGAAACUAUCGAAUAAUAUAGUUGCAUCAAAUACCCCCACAUUUAGCUCUUGUUUGUCCUCGAGAAAGGAUAGAUAAAAUCAAAUUGAAAAUAACUAUGACCAAUCUCUUAAUCUCUCAUCAAUCUCCAAGAAUAUAUGCAUAUAAACUAGAAUACAAUCAAGAAGGAUAGAGAGUAUAGAUUUUCAUGAAUUUAUUUACAUGCAAAUUUCAAAACUCAAUUAAUCGUCAGGAUUUAAAUGAAAUAUAUGUCAUGCCAAAGUGAUAGGUCCUCUCAUUGAUAUACACUCCAACACUCACGUGUUGAGGGCUUAUGUGUUAAAUCUCUCAAAUUCAAUCAAUGAAUAUGUUCUACCAUAAGCUUGCUCUUCAAUCUCAUCUUCAUUGCCAACAUAUUACAAGCAAUGCAUGAAUCAAAAUGUUUUAUUUUCCGGUUGUAAUGGGGUUAAGGUUAAGGUGAGGUAAAAGAGAGUAAAAGAAAACGUUCAAACCAAAAAAAGUAGAGCAUUCUGAAAAAUGAUAUUUCAAACAAGAUAUUCCAUCAAUGCACAUAAAUUUUCCAUCUUUAAUCACCAAUGCUUAACUUCUUUUGAUUUCAAGCUCUUUCAAUAUAAAAUCUUAAGAACAUAAAGGAACACUUUUUUUUCUUUUUCACCUUCGGCAACUUUGCCCAUCUUUUCAUCAAGCAUCACUUCUUCUUUCUUUUCAUAUAAUUUCCAACCAUAAUUCCAUGAGAUAUCACAAGUAUAUGCUCUACUAAUCCUUGGCUAGGGGAAAAGGAAAACAUAUAAAAAGUUAAGGCUUAUACAUGGAUAAAGCAAAGAAAAGAUAAAUAAGCUCAAAAGGGGCUCACUAAGGAUAAUAUGCUUUAGGUUGACUUUUUAGCUCAAGUGGUUAAAAUUCUUAAUGCCUUUAUCAUCUUCAUGUAUAUAUGUAAUGCAAAUGUAAUCUCAACAAGAUAUGAAGCAAGUUCUAAAGAUACACAUCAUUGAAAGAAUGCACAAUCAAAGAAUAUAAUGUUGAAGGCUCAAAAUCUUGCAUUGGAUAACACUAUAAAGUCAACAUGACAUAUUUUCAAAGUCAAUCCCUAAACCAAUUAAACGUUAAAACUUGCAUGCACACUCAUUCAUUCGAUUUAUAUCUUCAUCUAUCUCAAUUAAUUCUCAUAUUCUUAUAAACCAAUGGGAGUUCAAAAAGAUCAAACAUAGAAUUUUUUUUUUUUUUUACGCAACAAAGAAAACCAAAAUUCUCUCAAUACCCCCACACUUUAAACGCAACAUUGUCCUUAAUGUUGAAAUAGAAGAAAAGGAAUAGAAGAGAAUGACAAAAAUAAAGUAAAAUGUGAAAAAUAAAAGAUAAAGGAAAAAGAAAGGAAAUCUGAUUUUUUUUGUUUUUGUGUGCUGGGUUAACUCCCAAUAAGCGUUUUUGCUUUAUGUCAUUGGCUCGACACAUCGCAUGCUCAUGCUUCAUAAAUUGGUUCAGUUAACUCCAUUGAAGCGGUGAUUUCUGUCGUCCAACCUUCAUAAACUCAUAAUUUCAACUGCACCAUAAGGAAAAACAUUAGAAACAAUAAAAGAUCCAAUCCAUCGAGAGCGUAACUUUCUGGGAAGCAUUUUUAAACGCGAAUGAUAAAGUAAUCAUUCGGUCAUGAAGACUUUUGAUCUUUUCUAUGUAAAUCCUUGCAUUCUUGUAAGCAUCAUUCCAUAUCUCUUCCAAUAUAAUUCCAGUCUUUUUGGGCACCAAAAGGAUAGGCGCCACCCAUUUACUAUCCGUGAUGGGAUAAAUGACUCCUGCAUCAUAGAGGAUAGUUUGCAAAACUUGCAAAGCCAAUGCUGAUUCCUGCAUGUUUUGGGGAACACAUAUAUUCCUCUCCAUCUUUUUUAUCUCGGUUAAAUCAUAGUCAUAGCUCAAAGCCACGCUUAAUCCAUCCUCACAAUCGAAAUCAAAAACUUGUUGCACACACUUAUCAACUUGGUCAUAGCAUGUGAUAAAAUAAACAUUGCUAUAAGGAUAUUUCAUUGCAUCAUAAAAAUUAAAUUUAAUAUUUUCAUCUCCUACCUCCAUGGACAAAGUAUCCUUACAUAAUCAAUUUUGGUAUUGGUUGUUUUCAAGAAUGGUCUCCCAAACAAUAUAGGAGUGUUGUUUGAUGAAUCACAAGAAUCACGUUCCAUAUCAAGAAUAUAAAAAUCACAUGGAAUAACCAAACUAUCAAUCUUGAGUAGGACAUCUUCUAUCACACCAAGUGGAUAAACAAAACUACGAUCUGAAAGUUGUAUUACAAUACUAGUUUUAUUCAAAGGUUCAAGACUAAGAGAAUCACAAACAUGUUUAGGUAUAACACUGAUGGAUGCACCUAAAUCGCAUAAGGCCCUUUUAAAACUAGCAUUACCAAUAACACAUGGGAUAGUAAAUGCACCUGAGUCUUUUUGCUUCAAAGGCAUAUUCUUUUGAAUAACAACAAAUACAACUUCACCCGUACUUACCAUUUCAUGGCCUUUUAGCUUGAAGGCUCUCUUGGUAGUACACAACUCCUUCAAGAAUCUGACAUGCUUGGGAAUUUGCUUGAUAACAUCAAUCAAAGGAAUGUUGAGUUCCACUUUCUUCAAAACCUCUAAAAUCUAUUUUUCUUUAUCCUCUUUCUUAGACCUAGAAGAACUCGUAGGAAAGGGAGGAAUUGUUUUAAAACUGGAAUUCAAUGAGGGCUUACCUUUGCAGUGUUGGUCAUUGUUUCAAUUUGUGGAGGAGGAGGAUGUUUCUUCUUUGUACUCAAUUCGGUUUCUAUCUCUUCUUCUUCCUCCAUUUUAAUUUGUUUCGACCUUUGCCUUUCAAGUUCUUUCCCACUUCGCAACAUGAUCACACUAACAUUCUCCUUUGGAUUCAAUGUUUGGGAGGACAAUUUUCCAUUAUUUGUGCUUUCAAUUUCCCUACACUUGAAGCUAUUUGCCCCAUUUGCUUCUCUAAUUUGUGAAUACUUGACCUUAUUUCCUGUUGAAAAGACAUGAUAUUUUGUUGUAAGGUCACUGUGUUAGAAGCCAAAGUUUUCAUCAUCUCACGAAGAUCAUCAUUGGAUGACGACCCCAUAACAUUGGAGUUUGUGAAUGGAGGGGGUUGUCUUGCUUGAUAAUUCUGUUGGGGUUGUCUUGCUUGAUAAUUCUGUUGGGAUUGAAAUCCAUGGGGAUGGAACUGUCGACCUUGACUGCCUUGUUGAGGCGGGUUCCCAUAGUGUAAGUUGGGAUGAUCUCUCCAUCUAGGUUUGUACAUGUUGGAAAAGGGAUCAUAUUACAUUGGGGUUGUCCGUUAAAUGCUCCAUCAACUGCACGAGCCUAUUCAAUAUAAUCUUAUUGCAUUGUUGAGCACAUAUCUGAGGUAUGUCCUUGUAAGGAACAUAUGCUACAAACUUUCACCUGCUGUACAUUUCCACAAGCCAAAGAAUGCAUAAGAAAAGUAAGACCAUUGACUUUAUUUUCAACGUUAGAAAUACUUACCUCAUUUACUCGUUUGUUUGAGAAGUCUCCACGGGUGCCAAAUUGUUUCGAGUUGGCUACCAUGUUUGAGAUCAAUUGGCGUGCAGCCUCGGGUGUCUUAUCUACCUAUGCCCCUCCACUUGCAGCAUCAAUGAUACUACAGUCAGUAAGCAUCAAUUCUUCAUAGAAAUAUUGAAUGAGUAGCUAAUCGGGUAUUUGAUGAUGAGGACAUUGAAUGCAGAGUUGCUCAAAUCUUUCUCAAUAUUUGGAGAGUGUCUCUCAAUGAGAUUGCCGAAUCCCACAUAUUUCUUUUCUUAUGUUGGCAACUCGAGAUGCUGGGAUAUAUUUUUCAAGGAAUAUCUUCUUCAUGCCAUUCCAAGUUCCAAUAGAACCUGGGAGAAUAGAGAAAAGUCAUGCCUUUGCUGCCUCUUUUAAAGAGAAAGGGAAAGCUUUCAACUUAACCUGUUCUUCGUCAACUCCAUUCGGUUUCAUGCCAAUGUAAACUAUAUAGAACUCCUUGAGAUGAGUAUGAGGAUCUUCUCCUACAAGACCAUUGAAUAUUGGUGGCAAAUGUAUAAAACCAGAUUUGUGCUCGAAGUUGACAUUAUUGUCGAUGUUUAUGCACAAUGGUUGAUUUUCCACUUUAGGAGCAGCAAGCUCCUUGAGUGUUUCCUGUUGUGCAACAACCAUGGUGUUGACACGAGCUUCUUUUUGUAACCUGCGUAAAGUGUUUUGAAUUUCAAGAUUUACCUGCACUUGUCUUUGGUUAGUAGAACAGGUUACAAGCAUAAAUCGUAAAGAAAACUCAAAAGAAAGCGGCCACACAAGAGAUUGAAACAAUGUAAUUUGAACAAAAAUCCUAUGCUAGAAAACUAAAACUACCUAAAAAGCCUAGAAAACAACAGAAUUUGGCCUCGAUAGGGUGGAGCUAGUGGCUAAAAGCCACUAGUCCUGUUCAAAAUGUUGUUUUUCUUUAGGAAACAAAAGGCUAGGUCCUAAUUCCACUAAAAAAAUUGUUUUGAAUAGUACCGCUGCCGUAAAUGAACAAUACCGCAGCAAGCAAAAAUUCUGUUUCUCUUUUUUUUUUCUCUAAAAAAUAAAUAACAAUCACAACAAAUAAAAAUAAUAGCACAAGAAUCAACUAAAAUUACUUCCCCGACAACAGCACCAAAAUUUGUUGCGAUGUUGCAGUUGCACAAAUUAAUUACACUAGCUUAAAACACAACACACAAGAUAGUAUAGAGCAAGCAAGGGGUCGAUCCCAUGAGGAAGGUUCAAGUCAGAGUUUUAUGCUAUAUGAUAUGCAAUUUGGGGGGGGCGGGGGUUGAAAGUUAUCUAGGCUAAAGCAAAAGAAAACAAAAAUCUAUCAAGCGAAAAUUAAAUAAAAUCGAAUGUUCUCCCUAAGAUUACUAAUUUGGAUCCGCCACAAUUAUUAAUCUCAGUUGCUUCACAAGUAUUUAUACGACAACUCCAGUUUUGAUAGCAAACUUAGCAAUAGAUUAUUCACAAUAAUAACUUAGACCCCGCUCUAGCAAUUAAAAUAAACAAUCAUAGGAAAUAAGCAUAGGAGAAACAAACAUAUUCAUUCAUCAUAGACACUGAAAAGAAAAGGUAAAAUAGAUCUCACAGUUCUUGAAAUCUAAAGGUUUCUGUGUCCUUGCAACCAAGAAAAGAGUUUAGUCUUGUAUGUCUAUUAAACAAUUAAUCAAAAAGAAGAAAGAAAACAUGAAUUCGGAUUUGUUAGAGGAAGGGGGUGUUUUUCUCUCUUCUGGCCAUCUCCUCUUCUCCCUUCUCUCUUUCUUUUUAUAUCCUAGGAAACCCUAGUCUCUAUUUUACAAAAUAGUCCUCCCUUAAGUAGACAGUUUACUUUUAAGUACUUCACUAACUAUUUUCCUAAAAUAGAAGAAAUUACCUCACAUGAAAUGUUCAAGCUUUGACUUAGAGGAGCUAAAUUGCUGAAAUAAAAACUUGGAUGUCGGUUUAGAUGCUUCGGAACGCAAUUUGGAAUCGUUUAUUCACGAAACCUAUUUGUUAGCAGAAUUCAGUUUUCAUCUUUGAAAAUUCAUAUCUCCCUCAUAUGAUAUUAUUUUUGGCUGAAAUUUGGAGCGUGGAUAGCUAUUUGCAUCAGGAAUCCAAAACAAUUAAGUUUGCAUCAAUUGAACUUUUGUAGCUACACCUACUCAAGUUGGAAUGGCCAAAGGUCAAUAUUGACAGAUUGCGAGAUUUGACUUUGAAGGCUGUGAUUUCCAUGCUCUUCAUUAUUUUAUUUUCUUGCCUUAGAUGUCCAGAAAGGUAUGGAUGUUAGCUUUUUAAUGCCACUGGAAUCACUUUAUUUCAACCUCUAGAGCUCACGCUCUGUACAAAACAUCAACUGAAGGUCAAAUCUGCCAAUUACCUUCAAUUUACUCCUUUUUGCAUCUUUCAUCCAAAAGUACCUUCAAAACAUAAAACAAAUAAUAUCAAGAUAUUUUAUAUAUAAAACAUAGGAAAAACACUAGUUAAAUAUAGGUGAAACUAUCGAAUAAGAUGGUCAAAUCAGCACACAUCACUUAAAGUGUGCAAAGUGGCAUCACAUGUCGGCGCGUGCAUCACCAACAACUUUUCUUUUAAAAUAUUAUUUAGUCUUUUGAAAAUACAAAAUUGCACUUGACUUGACUUGAUAAUCACAAAAAAACCACAAUGAAAAGAUAAAUAAGCCCUUAGAUCCAGUUUAAAAAACUCUAAUUCCAAUGGUAACUAAUUAAAUUCAUCUUGCAUUUUUAAGCAAAAAGAUGAAUUUGCCCCUAAAUCUAAGUUAGAUUUAUUUUGAUUUCAAGGAUAUUCUAGUCAUUACAUUGUAUAAAAAAGAGUAAAAAGUAAUUCUUUAAUCUCAAUCAAUAUAAUAAUGAUUGAUUGGUCCUAAUGAAAUUAUUUUAAGGUUAAUAAAGUAAUUACACUAUUCUUGUACACAAUGCAUUAAGUCUAGGUGCGUAGUGAAUUCACUACCCCAAUUAGUUUUUUUAUUUAUUUAAUUGGAAUCAUUAAGUUUAAAUUGAAUGAUCAUGAUCUAGUUUAUGAUAAUAAUAAUAAUAAUAAUAAUAAUUUAACUUUUAAAUAUUUUAUUUAUCUCAUUUAAUUCAUCAAUGAAUUAAAAAAAUGGCACACUUGAAAUAUGACUGAUUAUAUUUUAAGAAUACGAGAGGAUUGAAAUUCAUAUUGUGAGACAUGAAAUUAUAUAAUUUAAGUCUUAACAAACAUUCCAAUGCACAAAGUAAUAGUGAUAAUAAUUACAUUUAUUAAAAUACUAUUAUGAUUUUCAAAAAUAGUUUUUUUUUAUUAACGUAGGUGUCUAGGCCAGGUUGCACGCACCUCAACUAAUCCCUCAAGCCCUGAAGUUAACGACCAUAUAAAUCUCUAGUGGUCUUGAGAGGACUUGAACUCGUGAUCAUUGGAGAUAUGUCCAUAUGUUUUUAAUUGUAUCUAUUAUGUCCCUUAUAUAAUAUGUAAUUCUCUAAUAUAUAUUUUUAGUUGAGUUGUUUUUUAAAAAAACAUUAUGCAUUAAUUAAGGAUUUCUUAAUUUAUUAAUUUUUUUCUUAAGUAAUUUUUUUUAAAAUAUUAAUUAGAAAACUAAUAUACUCAUCAAAACAAUAAUUAGUAAUACCAGAUUGUAUUGUUUCUUGCAUUAUAUAGUAUACUGAUAAUGAAAUUUUUUUUAUUAGCUCACUUUUAAAUUAUCCUAAAGCAACUCCAAUAUGAAAACAAAUGAUGAGUAUUAAUAAAUAAUACAAUAGAGUAGCGUAAUUAUAGUGGUAGAGAUAAUAACAAUAACUUUGUUUUCUAAAAAAAGUGUAAUUAUAGUGUCAUUAUAUUAAAAUAUCGUAAUAAUCAGAGGUUCUUUUCAUUCUUCAUACUUAGUAAAAAUAAUUUUUUAAAAAAACAAUUAUCUUAUAAUAAUUUUUGUACAUUAAAUUAAUUUUUUUAAAAAAAUUUGACUUAUUUUUAGCAAAAUUAUAAAUCAUGAUUUUAAGUCAAAAUAUUCACAAAUAUGUUAUUAAGUUACGUUGUAACAUAUCAAGAUUGAGUUCUUUCUGCUAGAUGAACUCAUAAGUUUCUCCACGAAGAUAUAACGAGAAAGCAUAGGUCAAAGUUUUAAGUGACAUUAACAAAUACAAGUUAUUGACCAGGUCAACUCUCUUUUUGUUUUUUGUUUUUUUUUUUGAAGAGAUUUCUUGAAAAGAAAAUUAGUUUUUUUUAAAAAAAUAUUACUUAAUUAAACAUAAUAAACACCAAUAAAAAAAAUAUUAUCUUACAUUAUAAGAAUUAAUUAAUUAAUUUAUAUAAAUUAGAAAUACUAAGUUAUAAUAAAUUAGAUCCAACCGUAAUUGGAUUGAAAAGAAUCACAAUGAUAAUAAUAAUAAAAAAGAGAAAAUAUCCAAAAAAAAUAGUAUUUAACAGCAACAUGGAUCCUAAAGGCUAAAGUCCAUAUAUAUACACACACACUCAUAAGAAGAAGAAAAAAGAAAGAAGCUAUCGUGCUUUCCUAUCUCCUUAAAAAUUUCAAAUCCUUAAACAAAAUGUUUCCCUUUUAGGUCUAAUUAUGGUGUUGGGUUUGCUUCCAAGCCCAAAAUCGAUCUCUCUCUAGUUUAAUCAUAGAAAAAUCAUAACACCCUUGAUAUCAGGAUGAUUUCAAGAAACUAAGGUUAAAAACCUAAAAUAUCCCUUGACUUUAGACAAAACAAUUAACCCCUAGGGUUAUAUGGUAAUUAUACUGUAUAAAAAAGUGAAAAUCUAAAAAUAUCCCUUAAACAUUAACUAUGUUUUUUUUUUCAAGGGCAUGAGAAUAAUUAUAUAGUGUUCAAAAUACAAUUUUAGAUCUCAGCAUGUGUUUUUUUUUUUGUCACUAUAUAUAACUUAUCAUUAUUAUAUUAUGCACAAUCUAUAAUAAAAUAUUGAUAAAUUUUAUUUUUAUUUUUAAUUUAAAAAUUGACCGAAGCAUCCUGAUCUUUUUUUUUUUUUUAGUUUAACGUGGGUGUCCGGGCCAGCUUGCGCGCACCUCGACUAAUCCCACUGGCCCUGAAGUUAACGACCAUGUAAGCCUCCAGUGGCCAUCAUAUGAGCAACCACAGGGCUUGAACCUGAGACCACAGAGGGAGCAAACCUCUUGGUCCCAAACUCUUACCACUAGGCUACCACCUAGAUGGUUAGCAUCCUGAUCUUUAAAAGAUAUGCUCGGACAUUCUUGCCAACACCUAUUUCAUAUUAAUGGAAAAGGGCCCAUCUAAUGAGAUAAUGACAGAAGCAAAGAUCCCAUUAAGUGGAUUCAAAGUGGCAUAAACUCACCUAUAUCGGUCAUAGACCUUUGGCAACCCAUCGCACCCUCGUCACGGCGUUAACAUCCGUCUUGGACUGAGGGGCGCGAAAUCGGGCCUACUUUUUUUUUUAAGAGCAAGUCUCGCCCUGCCUAUCCCCUAAAAACUAAUUUACUGAAGUAAGGUCCGCCCUUUACCUUUAGGUCAGAAUGCCGCUAUCGCUACUUUUUUUACUCUUUAAAAAAGAGUUCCGUGACUUAUGUGUAGCCUAUAUGGCGAACAAAGAAAAAAAAGCUCAAACAAAGCAAAGGGGCGCUCAUACACUCUCCGUUCUGUAGUGCCCCUAGCGCAGCGCUCAAACAAGCCCUCUGAUCCUGAGGUGAGGGUGCGAUGCCUAUCGAAAUCACAAAAGGUGUAAAAUCGAAUCCGCGUUAAAUGAAAAAUGUCUUGGCAUUGGCUGAUUCCGUUAACCUUCCCCGAUUGACAGAACAUCCAGCUACUGAUACUUGAAAAAGCAGCUUAGCUUUUAAGGUCUCAUUGCUUCAGUGAAUCACUUGAGCCCUGGUACAUUUUCGGUGCCAUGGAGCUGGACCACUGAGCUAUUACGCUUUCUUCAAAGGAUGAGUGUAUAGGACGUAUGAGGAGUCUCGCUCUGUAGCCUAGUUAAUCUCUACCAUUGGGCCUAUACCGCCAAAGCCCAAUACUGCAGAGGAAAUUAAGUGAAGUAGUCGACAAAGAAAAGAAGAUUAACAACACCUUAUGGAGAUGGCUUGCCGUAUUUCUAUCUCGGCCCCAAAAAAGUAGUUAACCUACGAUUGACCUUUAUAUCGUCUACCUCCAUCUCGCAUGAGAAAUCGAAUUCGGGGUGAUCAAAACUAUCCAACGGACUUAGCUCUAUGUCUGAGUUUAGGUUUUUCUCUUUUUUAGCUGCAUGCUCUUGAAUUAGUGAUUCUUAGCCCUCCUAGCAGACAAAAUCAAAACACCGAUAGCAGGAAGCACCUUUCUUGAAAAUUGAGGUAACAUUAACGAUCCUCUUCUUAAAUUAAACAAGCCAGCAGACAGAAUCGCAAGUCGUUGUCUCACCAUUCCUACUAAGUUUGUGGGUUUCCUGCUUUCUUCGCUUCUAAAUUGCAUUAUACAUUACAUAUUUUAAUCCUUUACACCAAUUACAUAAAACAUUCCUUUCAUAGGUAUCUCAAAUUUAAAGGCGAUCCUCUUUUGGAUCCUUUCUAAAAGUGUAUUUCAAUUCUUGCUCAUUCAAAGAUAUUGCUUAUUCAAUUCUUAACAUGGGUUUGUUCUUGUUCAAUUAGAGAUAUGAAUUUAGUCCCUCGCUCUCUUUCUCCAUUUAAAAUCUUGAAAUUGAACUCAAUAGUUACUUAGGUUCUUAUUUUUCUUGUUGAUGUUGUUUUGUUGUUCCAAAGGGUUAGAUAAGAUAAAUAAAAAAGAAAAAGAAACAGAAGUUAGAUAAGAGAAAAGUGAAAAGAAAAUCAAAUAAAAUAAAAUUUAUACAAUAAUUUACCUCCCCGGCAACGGCGCCAAAAACUUAACACGAUCAAAGAGUUGAUGUCUUAUCCCAAGUGCAGGAGUAUCAAUGUAAUAAAUAACCCGGCAAGACCGGGCUCGAUCCACAGGGAUAUCAACUGUAUAAAUUAUAAAUAAUAUAUAUAAUUUAACAAAGAGUUAAAGAGAUCUUUGAGAUGUGAGAUUAAUGUGAGGAUUAAACAAUGAUAAAAACAAUUGUCAAGGUUAAAGGAUCCACUAAUGGUAUUAGAAAUAAAUAUAGUAUAAACUCUUUUUAUUACUCAACUGGAAACCAUACACAAAGAAGGUUCCAAUCGGAUGAUUUAUCCUUAAUAGUUCAUUAUAAAUUUUUAACAUGAUCAUAUUAAUUAUCUUAUUUUAGUAACACCAUACUUUUAAAUAUUAUCAGGAAUUCUUGAUGUUAACUUAUGUUAACAACAAAUCAAGUUCCUCUCAUAACAACAAUGUCGGCCGAAGACUAUGAAGGAUCAAGCAUUUAUUGUACCAAGUGUUAUACAAGACAAAUCUAGAUUAAUUAUUUAACAAGUAAGGUAUUAAGAAUUAGUAAGAUAAAAAGAUAAUACAUAUUAAUAACAAACUUUCUUGGAUAUAAACAUUGAAGUUCAUGUUGAGUUUAUAUUAUACAUAUUCUAACAUCAUUAGUAAAACAUUUUCACCUUGACAAAUUAAACUUAGCUAAACAUUAUGAAGAAGAGAAACAUAAAUAAACAAGUUAAGAACAUAGUUAUGAUACAAGUUAACUAAGUAUAGGAAAGGAAAUGAAAAGCAUAGACAAGAGAUUAAUAUAACAUGAAAGAAAACUUCAACAUUACAAAGAGAGAAAGAAAGAAAAUGAUCUUGAUAUGAACACCAAGAUGCCUAAAUGUAUGACAAAUACCUCUUUUUAUAGGCCAAAAAAAAUUAUUCAUUUGGUAAUUAACUAUUGAAUUAGUGGCCAACUAAUGACUUAGUGGACUUGGUGGUUUAGGUAUGGAUUUGUUUUCUGGACGAAAUGACAUUUCCACAAUCCAAAUUUGGCAAAGUGGUUUCAUACAAGUUGUAGGUAUCUGUAUUAGCUUUCCACCAAGAAGAAUGAUCUCAUUUGGACUUCUAGAACCUGAGAUAUGAACUAAAUAGUGUCUGGGCUGCAGGGCAGAUUCGGACUUCUCUUUUGAUGCUACGAUUUGGACUCCAAAACAGAAAAAUUGAGUCUUAGACUCUUCAUGAAUGUUUUAGGUCUAUGUCUUAGCUUUCUAUCCAUAUAAACCAAACUGAAAUCCAAGAUCUACAUCUCCAGAUAUGACCCAAUGAUUAAAUGGUGUUCUAGUUUGAAUUGAACUAGCAUCUCUUUUCUAAACUUAGCCCUUCUUUGUCCUUUCACUUUCAAUAGUUAAUCACAUCAAACAAUCCUUUGAAUUAUGAGAUAUACCUGCAUUUAAAAUGAGCAUUUACCAUAAAUUAAAGCUAUCUUAUCUUAUCAGACUUGUUAUUAUAAAACAUGCUUAAGUUAGGGAAUUUAAUGAUACUUUAAGUGCAAUAUGAUGAUAUAAAUCCUUAAUGAGAAUGCACUUUUAAGUACUAAUCACUCACCGACUUGAUUUUUUUAUUUUCAUUGAAGCAAAUAAUGUCCUUGCUAGAAUCCAGUUGUCGUUGUGAGUUUUUCUUCAGUUUAAAAAUUGUUGCCCUGGUUAUAUUUUAUAAAGCCCGUUUAUGAUAAUGGACAAGUCCCAUCUGGGCUGGAUAGUUUUUGGAUCAUGUUGCUUUCUCAGCAGAUUUCUUAAGACAUAUGUAAGCAAGAGCUUGUUUAAUCUUACCAUGCUCAUAGUGAAUUUAGAUGAUUGUCUCCUUAAAAGUAAAUCAAGGAUUUUUUUAAUUCAAUUUCUAAUGCAAAUUUUGCUAACAACCAUGCAAUCAAUUAUAGGUCACAUGAUUAGCACUUCUUCUUUAUCACAAAGGCUAGGAGGCCUGUAAUGCCUUUACUGUCUUUAUGAGACUCAACCAUUCAAGCCUCCUUUCAAAAUCUACUUCUCUCUUAGUAUAUUUGCAUUUUCUGCAUGAACUUUAUCUUUAAUGUACUUAAUUUUGAGGUUUAGUUCAUUUUGAUGAGGUUGUACUAUGUGUCAUGCCAUAUUAUGAACUUUUUUCUCUAAUUUUCCUUGUUGCUUAUCUGAAUGGCAGGUGAUGUGAAAAUUACCUUUCAAAAUAAUUCUUUUAUUCUUCUUACUAUAAUUAAUUGAUUAUAUAUUAUUGUGUGAUAUUUGGUUGUUUUGAAUGAUUCUGGUAGAAUAAUAUUUAAUUAAAAUUGAAAGUUACCCCAGACAAACUACUUCUACAAGGUCUUAUUCUUACUCAUCAUUAUUGGUGUCAUGAAUCAUCUUUUCCAUUCCUUUCUUUAUGGGGCACUCUUGUAUUCAACCAUGAACAAACAUGGUUUUUACACUAUAUUGUCAGUGUCCUAGUGAUUAAUUUCUUUUAUUGGUUGGACUUUUUGGUUUAAAGUGAACAUGGUUAAGGGUUUUUCUUUGUGUUAACUCUCUCAUAUUUAAAAGCAUUUUAUUGCUCUUAUUCAUGCUUGAUCAUGUUGAGGUGAAUUUAGUGAUGAUAGUAAUAAUGAAGUUAUGAUUAACUGAAGUUUUGUUUUUCCUUUUCUUUUUUACCAUCUUAUUUCUUCUUGUUAUCUGACAGGAGAGUUAAAGAAACUCAAGACACUUGUUAUAAAUGCAAAAAAACAUGGAAUAAAAGUAGUACCUGCAUUGGUCAAAAGGAUGCUAGAAAAGAAUUGCAAGAUGCCCAUGUGCAAGUUGCACAUGGAAUAAAACUCAAGACACUUGUUUCUCUUUGGGUUUGUGGACUUGUAUAAAGGUUCUGUCAGUGAGACAGUGAAACAACUCACAGAAUUGCAAGAUGCCCAUGUGCAAGUUGCAUAUAAGAAGUAUGUUUCCUAAAAAUGAUAUAAUUUAUUCCAACCUAAUAGCAUGAUUAGUCAGGUUUCAGGUUUCAAAAUAUUUUAUGGAUCCUCUUAUUGCUCCACUGCUUUCUUUAUAACAGGUUAUUUGAUGAUACUCGGAUUGAGCAGUUCUUCCAUAUGGACAUGGUAUGUUGCAUAACUCCUCAUGUGAAGGUUUUACUCGGGUUCUAUUACUUUAGUAGUUGCAAAUAGGACCUGCCUUCUUUUCAUGUUUUGAAAAUAGUUUCUUAUAGGUAUAAUGAUUUUACGAUGCUCACAGUUGGUGCCAUAGUCUUUCUCUCUUCUUCUUUUUUCUUCUGAAUAAGCUUGUGGAUUGAACUGCAUGUGCAGGGUAUGGAAUUUGAUUUAGACAUGCUCAAGAAAAUGUCAACAGAAUAUGUAGAGGCGAAGAAACAUGGCAUCAUAGGUGAUUAGUACUUAAAAGUGCAUUUUCAUUAAGGUUUUAUAUAAUCAUAUUGCACUUAAGGUAUCAUUAAAUUCCCUAACUUGAGCAUGUUUUAUAAUAACAAGUCAGAUACAUAAGAUAUCUUUAAUUUAUGGUAAAUAUUCAUUUUGAAUGCAGACAUAUCUCACAAUUUAAAGGAUUGAUUGAUGUGUUUAAUUAUUGAAAGUGAAAAGACAAAGAGAAGGCUAAGCUUAAAGAAGAGAUGUUGGUUCAAUUCAAACUGGAACAUCAUUUGGUUAUUGGAUCAUAACUGGAGUUGUAGAAUAUGGAUUUAGGUUUGGUUUAUAUGGAUGGAAAGCUAAGACAUAGGCCUAAAACUUUCAUGAAGAGUCCAAGAUUCAAAACGGUCGUUUUCAAGUUCAAAUAGUAGCAACAAAAGAGAAUUCAGAAUCUGUCCUGCAGCCCAGACACUCUUCAGUGUUCAGCCCAUAUCUCGAGUUCUAAAAGUUCAAAUGAGCUCAUUCUUGUUUUGUUGGAAAGCUGAGACAAAUGCCCAGAACUUUCAUGAGAUUAUCUGUUCAAAUUAUGAUGUUAGCAAUGAUGUUUUGUUCAGACAAUAAGAUAAUGGUUGUUACCAAGUCAAGAAGUGGUCACCCACUCAAUAAUUAGUCAUCAAAUCAAUAGUUCCAAAUUUUAGCCUAUAAAAGGAGGAUUUUGCCAUAUAUUUAGACAUCUUGGUGUUCAGAUCAAGAUCACUCUCUCUCUCUUUGUAUUUUGUAAUGUUCAAGUUUUAUUUUAAGUUAUAUUAAUCUCUUGUUUAUGUUUUUCAUUCCUUUACUAUACUUAGUUAACUUAUAUCAUGUUUAUGUUCUUAUAUUGUUUAUUUAUGUUUUUCUUCUUCAUUAUGUUUAGCUAAGUUAAUUUUGUCAAUGUGAGAAGGGUACACUAAUAGUGUAAGAAUAAGUAUAAUAUAAACUCAACAUGAACUUUAAUGUUUGAUACUAACAUGUUUUGUAUUUGUUAUCUUACUCACUCUUAAUACCUUGCUUGUUAAAUGGUUAAUCUAGAUUUAUGUUGUACAACCCUUGGUACAACAAAUACUUGGCACUUUCAUAGCCUAUAUAUGGUAUAACCGACACUUGUGCUAUGAAAGGAACUUGAUUUGUUGUUAACAUAAGUUAUCACCAUGAAUACCUGACCACAUUUACAAGUAUUGGUAUUACUCAAAUAAGAUAAUUAAUAUAAUCAUGUUAAUAAUUUAUAAUCCGAUUGGAACCUCCUUUGUGUGUGGUUUUCAGUUGAGUAAUAAAAAGAGUUUAUACUAUACUUAUUUGAAAUACCAUUAGUGGAUCCUCUAACCUUGACAAUUAUUUUAUCCUUGUUUAAUCCUUACAUCAAUAUCACAUCUCAAAAGUUCUCUUCAACUCCUUUUCAUUUGUUGUUUAUAAUUUUAUAUAAUUCACCUCCCUAUGUUCAACCCCAGUUUUGUCGAGUUAUUUAUUACUUCGAUACUCCUGCACUUGGGAUAAGACAUCAAUCUUUUGAUCGUGUCAAGAGAUAUGUUCUUUUAUCUGUCUCAUAUCCUUAUUUAUAGGUUAGAGAUUGAAUAAGCAUCAAAUCGUGAAAGUAACAUGUGUAUUCUUCCUCAAUAACUUGUAUCUGUAUUGCCUAGCAGAGCUAGUGAUUUUAGUUGUUACCAAAUGCAAAACUAGUUUAUCAAUUCACUUUUUUUUAACACUAAGAAGCUACAUUUACUUGUCAGUGAUUUUUUGAAUUUAUCUAAUUAUUGAUUUUUUUGUUAUACUCUCCAAUUUUUUCUAAGAUAAAUGGCCGGGGUGGUAGAGUUUUUCUAAAUAUAUUUGAUUGCCUAGUUAUUUCCUUAACAGUUUGUGUUUAUUCUUACUAUUGAUUUGUUACUCAACCUAAAAAUUUCUCUGUGAUUUCUUAUCUAUAUCAUUUAUGGAGUUGUAUAAAUUUUGAAGCACAUAUCAUUUAUAGUUUAAAUUUCCAUUUCAAAAUUCAUUCAGUAUCUAAUAACGUAAUUUAUUUACCACACUUCUACUUGUUUUUGUGUUUUUUCAACAAAAGCAAUCAAGGUAGUAGAUGUCCAAAACAUACAGCAUAUAUCAGAUGAUAGGGAAUUUAUUGGAGAUGAAGUUGAGAUGAUCACAGAGAAUUGAAAUGUCUAAAGGCAAGUGUUUUACCAGCAAAUAGGACUAAAUCAAACCCAUGCUCAAAACGAUGAACAACAACAUCAACCACAACACAAAAAACAUGAACAACAAGAUGAUGAUUUUGGUGAUGAAUUUAGUCAUCAACUGGAACUGCAACUAAUUGAAGAAGAACAGCUACAACAAAAACAAGAGGAUCAUGAAUUGGAGCUGUAACUUUCUAUAAAACAACCCUAAUAAUGUAGCAACAAAAUGGUGAGGAAUUAUGUUACAAAAACUAGGACAAGUAGGAAUCCUAUGGUUUAGGACAUAAUUAUCUAGCAAGGUGAUCAUUCCAAUCGAGGAUGCUGCGGAAUUUUGUGAUUAGACUGCUGCAAUUCUAACCUCCAUUUAAGACCAUCCCAGAACCUUUUCAGUUUAUGAAAGAGAAAGCUGUUGGGUUUUCUGGAUAGGUUUUUCAAGUUACUGAAUUUAUUAUCAAAACACAAAAAAGAUAUCUCUGUAAAACAUUUGUCAAUAUAUGUUCAGAAUGGCAUCUUGAAACAGUUGGAUAAUUUUUACUGUUCUUCUUUGCCAUUGGUCUGCAUCCUCAUGAAGUCUAUAAACCUAGCUUUUCCAGUUCCAUUAGGCCCUUUGUCCCACCCUCUUAGCACCAAGAAGAUUGUUUUCCUGCUAAUAAAAGUUCAUAUUGGUUUUCUCUCGUUUAUUUUAGUCCACUGGAUUCAAGUUACUGUGUCACAAUCAUCUUUGGAUUAUUCAAUGUGUUUCAUUAUCAAUACCUCGUGAAUCAUGUUUCACUGAAGGAAGCAAUUGAAGUGUAUUUCUUUUUCUUUUAUGGUUUCAGCUGUUCUCAUUUAUGUUUAAUUAAUGAAAGGAGGAAACAUUAGUUUCUUCUUGAUCAUCACCAUUUUCAAUGAUUCAAAUUAUAUGAAAUGGCAUGGAGAUGGAUUUUUGCAAGAGUAAGUUAUUUGAGCUUAGCCUAGAACAGAGUAUUGAUUAAACAGGUAGAUAGCAAAAUUCUUAUUUGACCAUUCCCCCUCAAUUCCUCACAUGAUUACAUGAACUAGUAAACUACAGAGGGAAGAAAAUUUGAGGGGAAACAUGCAAGUACAAUAAAUACCCCAAUACCCAAACCUUCCAUAUAGCCCUUAACUCUAUUCAAACAGAAUUUUCCUAUGACUCAAUCUCAACAAUAUGAAGUUUGCCCUCCUCAGACAAGCUAUCCAAGCUAAAACCAACCAACCCAGAAUUCAAAUUAUACACAAAAUCAACCACAUUUGAGUCCACAAUGCACUUCCUUGGCUUAGCAAAUAAAUAAACAUCAAACUUGCCACACCUUUUAACCUCUAUGCAAACUUUCGCAACCAAUUCAUUGCUAUAGUUCCCCACCCUCUCUUCAGUCACACCACUACUUUCACCCCUGUAUCCAUCAUCAAGCUCUAAUAAUUCAGCACCACCUUUCACUUCAAACUUUAGCCCCUUAAUGGCUCCACCUACAUUGAACAUGUUAAUUAGCCCCAGGGGUACAAAGCUGAACCCAGGUGCUAAAACCUUGAUUGGGUGUUACAGUGAAAAUGUCAUGCUCAAGGACUUUGAGUGACACUGACAAUGCUGCAUUGUAAGGGAGGGUGAUUAGUUCUCCUGUCCGGUGAUAAUAGAAAGCACAAUUAUCAUCCCAGUUAGGGUCCGUGGCAACUUCAGUGAUGAGGUGAACAUCACGACCCCUAAUAGUGCCUGUUAGGGCCUCAAAUGUGGUUUGGUGGAAAGCGUUCUUUCUUUCAGUGCUGCUCCUUGGUAAUUGUAGACACCUAGGACCCCUGUGAACUUGUUCAUGCUAUAUAUUUUCCAUUGGUUGCAAUCAAAGAAAAACUGUUUAAGAAAUUCCUCAUAAUGCAACAUUUCUAGGAUAAGAAAUUAGCUAAAAUUCUUUGUUGUGGUUUAUUGUCUCUAUGAGAUUAGGAUCCUUCUUUCUUGGAUUUCUUAAUGCCAAAAAACAGCUUUAAUUAUUACCAACGGUAUAGAUAAGACCUUAUUAAGAUUCUAACGGUAAAUUUAUAUGCCACGUCGAAUCCACAAAAUACUAGUCCUUUUACUCGGUUAUAAGAACAUUGACUAUCAUUCCUUCACAGCAAGGUUCAUGUUUUUUCUAUGAAUUUAUGGCUCUUAGCUUGACGUGUAAUGUUUUGAGCAUGUACAGGUGGUGGUUAGGGUUUGGGUGCAUGGAGAAUACAAUGUAUCGUGUGUGGGUUGAUUUUUGUUUCUUUUAGUGCACCAAAACCAUUAUUAGUGCUGAUAUGUGUACAUGUACUCGCUUUUUGGCGUCUCUUUCUUGAAAGGAACAAUGAACCCCAUUUUUGUAAAAAAUCUAUCCUUCAAAUUCAGGACUGGAAAGCUGAAGCAUAUGCGGGCUGAAACACUGUAGCCCAAUCAUAGCAGGGCUUUAUUGUUCAGACAUUGAUACCAUAACCAAAUCAUUACUCAGAUCCAAGUUGGUCCAUGUCUAAGAGAGAUUGGAUCGCAUCAAGAAACAAAACCAUGGUUGUGAAACAAAUCAGGUUGCUUCUAACAACAAAAACUCUUACAGGAAAAAUAAAAAAACUUUUACUUCAGUUUGUUUAUUUUUCUCUUCUAAUAAAUAUGUUUUCUUGCUCAUCCAAGACAGGGAGCAUGAUAACUGAUCUAUGAGACACAUUAUAAGAUUUUGAUCCAAUAAUUCACGUAAAAUUUAUUUUUUCUUAAUGAUUAAUAUUUUUUAAUGUAAAAUUUAUAGAUAAGUAAUAGAAACUGAAUGUGUGAUGGAGCCAAUAUUCUAUGAGAGAAAAAAAUUAUGUUGGUUGUUGUAACCCAAUUUUGGCCCAUUGGCUUUUUAACUUAAUUUUACAGGGUUUAAAAUGUAAAAUUAAAAGAUCGGAGAUUUAUUUCAAUGAAAAGUGUGAUUUGUCAACUUGCGUGAAAACUAGGGACUACAAUAUGCUUUUGUCAUUUUAACCUUAUCUUCAAGAUAAUCUUUGUCUUCAAGAUAAUGAUAGUUAUCCGCUUUCAAAUUUGAUUCUUAAUCAAAUUCAAACUUCAAAGAAGAGAAUAAGUUUGAUUGAAACUUUGUUUCUCACACGCAAAGGAACUCUAACACUAUAAAUACAGAUCUCAGUGUAUGUACAAAAAGGAGGAGGAUAUAGAAAAAACAAAGGAAACCCUAGAGGGGGGAUAAACACAAAAAACCCCAAGAGGAGGUCAUUACAAGAAAAGCCUAAAAGAAAAAAAAGAAACAACUCGAAAGGGAGGGGGGGCUGGCAUUCCACUCUCUACUCUCUACCGCCACCCCCCCUUCAUCGAUUUUCUUUCUUCCUCUUCUUCCCCAGUCACUAAGAACAAACAAAGCAAGCCCUCCAUUGCUUUUCUUUUCCUCUCCCUCAAGACCAACCAAACCGGCAACAACAGCAGCCCCUCUUAGUAGCAGCAGUAAGGCUUGGUUACUUACAAUCACGGGAACGGUGGAGUCUUUAUCAUCCCGGAUGAAAACAGCAGCUCCCUUACUGUCAUGGCACCAUUACCAGCUCCAGCAGUAGUCCAACAACAUCCAGCAAACAACAUUGCGCGCCUCUUCCAGCAAACAACAUUCCAGCUCCAUCAACAUCCAGCAAACAACAUUGCGCGCCUCUUCCAGCAAACAGCAUUGCAGCUCCAUCAACAUCUAGCAACCAACAUCGUGCACCUUGAGCAUGUACUAACCAUAGCAGCAACAACCUUCUUUUCUUAGUAGAGAGAGGACGAAUACACAGAAAUGCAAAUGAGAGUAGGGGUGGCACAAGAUGAGAAGAAAUAGAGGAGAGAGUUCCUUUCCGGCCAGCAGCCUUACGCCUGGAUCACCAUCGCCCUCGGCUUACAACAACCAGGUAACUUCUUCUUUUUUCUAUUUUCCUAGAUUAAUUAGUUUGUUAUUGUUACAUGCAUGCGUGAAUUACUCAAGCAUGCAUGCAACAAUGCUUUUUUUUUUUUACUGGACCACAAAAAUAAAAAUAAAAACAACAAUAUAUAUAUAUAUAUAUAUAAACAAAAAUAGUUUCUAUUUCUUGUAAUAUAUAUUUUGCGGAUUUAUUCACUGGCGCCAGAGUCAGGAAUACCGUACAUUGUGGGUUGCACAAUAUUUACCAACGUCAGAGUUGGAAAUAUUCAUAGGUGAAUAUUCACUAACGCUAGAGUCAGAAAUAUUAUAGGAUGACCAUAAGAACGGAACACAAACAAACCUUUAGCAAUUUAAGACAAAACCAGCAAUAUAGCUUGUCUAAGGUAGGACGCUUAAGGGGUGAUAAUAUAUUUCCUUUCGCGUAACCAGUCUCGUACCAUAGAAUCUCUGUUGACCAGUUAGGGUUCCUAGUGACCAUAAUAUUAGGUGGCGACUCCUUGAACAAGAACUUUUCCCCUAAAAAAACACGAUGCCAAAUAUCGGUUCUUUUUCCAAUCGAGAGAUUAAUUUUUUAAUAGGUCGCCACGAUGUCCGGGUGUGACAUUAGUGAUAAAAAAAACUUAGAGACCAAAUAGAAUGAGUUGUAGCAAUCACAGUGUUUUAUGAGGAAAACUACAGUGCUUUCCCCACAUGAUUUAGUUUUUUGCUACAUGAUUUAGCUUUUCUGUUAAUAAAAUAGAAAAAAAUACAAAGCUAAAUUCUCAAUCAACUCAAUAUUAAAAAAAAUAAAAUUGAUAAAGACAAUUUUGGAAAAAAUCAUAAAAAAAUCAUGUAGGGAAACAUUGUAGCAAUCCAUAGUGUUUUGUGAAGAAAGCUACAGUUGUAAUUCUAACCCAACUCAAUAUCAAGAAAAUAAAAUCGACAAAGACAAUUUUAGAAAAAAUCAUAAAAAAAAAACAUGUAGGGAAACACUAGGGGUGAUCAUUUUCGGUUCGGUUCAGUUUUUUUUUACAGUAGCCAAAUUUGUUUUUUUUUUAAAAACCAAAACUGGUUCAAACUAACCGUUUUCGGUUCGGUUCGGUUAUUUUAGAGAAAAAACCGGUUCAAAUUGGUUUGGUUCGGUUUGGCUUGGUUUCUGUUCGGUUCAUUUUUUUGGUUUUUUCGGUUUCAAGCUUAUAAAACCGAAACCAAACUGGUUAGUUUUUUGAAAAUUCUAAUCGGUUUUUUUUCAUGGUUCGGUUUUUUCGGUUAUUGUUUUUCGGUUUUCUCGGUUUAAUCGGUAUUUCAGUUUUUUUGCUCACCCCUAGGAAACACUGUAGCAAUUGAUUAGUACUUAAAAGUGCAUUUUUAUCAAGGUUUUAUAUCAUCAUUUUGCACUUAAAGUAUCAAUAACUCCUUAACUAGAGCAUGUUUUAUAAUAUCUUGUCUAAUACUAUAAGAAACCUUUAAUUUAUGGUAAAUGUUCAUCUUAAAUGCAGGCCUAUCACAUAAAUGAAGGGAUUGAUUGAUGAGUUUAACUACUGAAAUUGAGAAGACAAAGAGAGGGCUAAGCAUAGAAAAGAGAUGCUGGUUAAAUCCAAACUGGAACACUAUUCAGUCAUUGGGUCAUAUCUGGAGCUGUAGAUCUUGGAUUUCAGUUUGGUUUAUAUGGCUAGAAAGCUAAGACAUAGGCCUAAAACAUUCAGGAACAAUCCCAGACUCAAUUAUGCUAUUUGGAAGUCCAAAUCUUAGCAUCAAAAGAGAAGUCUGAAUCUGUCCAGCAGCCCAGACACUGUUUAGUGUUCAGCCCAUAUCUCAAGUUCUAGAAGUCCAAAUGCACUGAUUCUUUUUCUGUUGGAAAGCGGAGACAAUAUCCUAGAACUUUCAUGAGACAAUCUGUUCAAAUUCUGAUGUUAGCAAUGAUGUUUUGUUCAGACAAGAAGAUAAGGAUUGUCACCAAGUCAAGAUGUGACCACCCACUCAACAAGUAGUCAUCAAAUCAAUAGUUCCAAAUUUUAGCCUAUAAAAAAAGGCAUUUGUCAUGCAUUUAGGUAUCUUGGUUUUUAGAUCAAGAUCAUUUCCUUACUUGCUUUCUUUCUUUGUAGUUUUAAUGUUCUAGUUUUAUUUCAUGUUAUAGUUUCAUUAAUAUCUUGUUUAUGCCUUUCAUUUCCUUUACUAUACUUAUAUAAUCAUGUUCUCCUCUAUUUUAUUUAUGUUUCUCUUCUUCAAUAUGGUUAGCUAAGUUUAUUAUGUCAAGGUAAAAAGGUUUCACUAAUGGUGUUAGGAUAAGUAUAAUAUAAACUCAAUAUGGACUUUAAUGAUUAUAUCCUAAACAACCUAGUAUUAACAUGUCUUAUCAUUUUUAUCUUAUUAAUUCUUAAUACCUUGCUUGUUAAAUGGUUGAUCUAAAUUUGUGUUGUAUGACACUUAGUACAACAAAUGCUUGGCACUUUCAUAGCCAACCGUAUGGUAUAACCUACACCUAUGCUAUGAAAGGAACUUGAUUUGUUGUUAACAUAAGUUAGCAUCAUGAAUUCCUGACAAUAUUUAAAAGUUUGGUGUUACUUAAAUAAGAUAAUUAAUAUGAUCAUGUUAAUAAUUUAUAAUGAGCUAUUAAUGACAAAUCAUCCGAUUGGAACCUCCUUUGUGUGUGGUUUCUAGUUGAGUAAUAAAAAGAGUUUAUAUUAUACUUAUUUGAAAUACCAUUAGUGGAUCCUCUAACCUUGACAACUGUUUUUAUCAUUGUUUAAUCUUCACAUUAAUCUUACAUCUCAAAGUCUUCUUUAACUCAUCAUCAUCAUCAUCAUCAUCAUCAUCAUCAUCAUCAUCAUCAUUAUUAUUAUUAUUAUUUAUAAAGUUAACCUCUUUGUUGUUCGAUCCCGGUCUUACCGGGUUAUUUAUUACUUUGACACUCCUACACUUGGGAGAAGACAUUAAUCUUUUGGUCGUGUCAAGUUUUUGGCACCGUUGCCAGGGAGGUAAAUUCCUGUAUAAAUUAUAAUAUUUAUUUUAUUUUCUCUUUUCACUUUUCUUGUAUCUAACUUUGUUUCUUUUUGUUUUGUUUCUUUUUGUUUUGUUUCUUUUUGUUUUGUUUUCUUCUUCCAUUUGCAUGAGAGUUUAAGUGGUAGACUUUGUAGGGUAUCCUCAUCAUUUUCAGAAAAUAUGGCUAAAGAAGAUAACCAAAGAAGAUAACCAGUCGCUUCAUAAUGAGAAUAAUGAGAAUAACUGUGUUAGAACACUUAGAGACCACAUGAAUCUCACAAGAAUUUUCCCCCCUGAUACAUCUCAUUUUAAUUUUAAGCCAGACAUUAUUCAACUUUUACCUUCUUUUCAUGGCUUAGAUCUAGAAAAUCCAUACUUGCAUUUAAGGGAAUUUGAAGAAGUCUGUAACACCUAUAAUGACUCAAAUUGUAGCAUGAAAACCAUCAGAUUAAAGCUUUUUCCUUUUUCAUUAAAAGAUAAAGCCAAAACAUGGCAACAAAAUCUUAGGUCAGGAUCCAUUCGUGCUUGGGAUGAAAUGCAACAACAAUUUUUAAAGAAGUUUUUUCCGUCCCACAGAACAAACUCUUUCAAAAGACAAAUCAUCACUUUCACUCAAAAACCAGGAGAAACAUUUUACCAAUAUUGGGAUAGGUAUCGAGACUUGCUUAAUACUUGCCCUCAUCAUGGUUUUGAAACUUGGAGAUUGGUUUCACAUUUUUAUGAAGGGUUAACUCCUAGAGAUAGACAAAUGGUGGAAUUGAUGUACAAUAAAACUUUUAAAGAUAAAGACCCUAAUGAAGCAAUGGAGUACCUAGACUUGCUAGCUGAAAAUGCUCAAAAUUGGAACAUUACAGGCACUUAUGAGGCACCAAGUAAAACCCAACCACAUACAUCUAGUGGAGGUAUAUACAACCUUAUGGAAGAUCAUGACCUCCAAGCCAAGUUUGCAUCUUUAGCUAGAAAAGUCGAGGCACUAGAAUUGAAAAAGAGUGGUCAAUUAAAAUCUGUUCAAGACAUUGUGUGUCAAAUAUGUGAAACCAAUGAACACUCAACCAAUAACUGUCCAACUUUGCCUUCUUUCAAGGAAUGCCUCCAUGAACAAGCCCAUGCUUUAAACAGUUUCCAAAGGCCCAAUCAUAACUCAUACUUGCAAACAUACAACCCUGGUUGGAGAAAUCACCAAAAUUUCAGUUGGAAGAGUGAUAACAAUAAUGCACAAACUUCACAGCCACCAUUUCAAACACAUCAUAAUUUCUAAAAUUCUCAUGGAUAUGCACCUCUUUAUGCUCCACCUCCUAGAAGAAAUCUUGAGGAAACAUUGCAUCCAUUCAUUGAAAAGCAGGAGACAAUCAACACUCAACUUGCUCAAAGCAUGACAGAUUUUAAAGAUACUCUUGCAAAAUUGACAUCUGCUCUCAGUUUUCAAGAGAAAGGUAAGUUUCCAUCUCAACACAGAAAAAUCCAAAGGGGCAAUACAAUGCAAAUGCAAGUAGUUCGGGAAGCCAACACAUGGAUCAAGCCAAAUUAGUCAUCACUCUUCGUAGUGGUAAGGUUAUUGAAAAACCCAUUCUUGAACCUUGUGAGAAAGAUGAUGAGUUAAUCUUUGAGGGUAAGGAAGAGGUUAAAUCUGAACAUUGCAAAGAAAAGACUGAUUCUUCGCCAGCACUUCCAUUUCCUCAUGCCAUGACCAAACAAAGGAAAGUCAAUCACAACUCUGAAAUCUUUAAAACUUUCAAACAGGUAAGGAUCAAUAUACCUUUGCUGGAUACUAUUAAACAGGUACCUUCUUAUGCUAAAUUUUUGAAAGAUUUGUGCACUAUGAAGAGAAAACUGAAUGUGAAAAAGAAAGCCUUUUUAGCCGAACAAGUAAGUGUCAUUCUUCAGAACAAUAAUGAUUUGAAAUAUAAAGACCCUGGUUGUCCUACAAUUUCUUGCUUUAUUGGAGAACAUAAAAUUGAAAGAGCUUUACUUGAUCUUGGAGCUAGUGUGAAUUUACUUCCAUAUUUAGUUUAUCAAAGUCUCAAUCUAGGUGAGUUAAAACCAACUUCUGUAACUCUUUUACUUGCCGAUAGAUCUGUAAAAGUGCCUGGAGGAAUAAUUAAAGAUGUGUUAGUACAAGUCAAUAAAUUCAUUUAUCCUGUGGAUUUUAUUGUCUUGGACACACAACCUGUUGAAGCAUGUAAUUCAUUUCCUGUUAUUUUAGGACGUCCGUUUCUUGCAACUUCUAAUGGAUUGAUCAAUUGUAGGAAUGGACUGAUGAAGCUAUCUUUUGGAAACAUGACAUUGGAGAUGAAUAUUUUCAACAUUUGCAAGCAACCUGGAGAUGAUAAUGAUUUACAGGAAGUGGACUUUACUGAAAAAUUAGUUCAUCAUCAAUUUCAAACCAUUUCUAGUGAAAGUGAGAUUGAUGAAUCUGAUGAUUUGCAAAUGGUUUAUUUUCAGGAAGAAUCAAAGGUAAAUAGUUGGAGACCAAAAAUUGAGGAAUUGCCACCACGAUCAAUUGAGUCCAUACCUUCAAGUGUUCAACCACCAAAACCUGAUUUGAAGCCGCUACCAUUCAAUCUCAAAUACUCAUUAUUGGGAGAAAAUGAAACUUUUCCUGAAAUAAUCUCUUCCAAACUUAAUGCACAUCAAGAAGGUAAGUUAUUACAAACUCUGAAAAUGCACAAAAAUGCAUUAGGAUGGACCAUAGCUGACAUAAAAGGAAUUAGUCCUUUGAUUUGCACACACACAAGAUUUAUUUGGAGGAAAAUGCUAAACCCUCUAGAGAAAUGCAACGAAGGCUUAAUCCUAAUAUGAAAGAAGUAGUGAAAAAAAAAUUCAUUAAGCUUCUAGAUAAUGGAAUCAUUUAUCCUAUUUCUGACAGCAAAUGGGUAAGUCCUACCCAAGUUGUACCCAAGAAGUCUGGAGUCACUGUGAUAACAAAUAAGAAAAUGAGUUAAUUCCAACUAGGCCUAUGACUGAUUGGCGCAUGUGCAUUGACUGUAGGAAACUUAAUUCAAUGACUAGAAAAGAUCAUUUUCCUUUACCUUUCAUGGAUCAAAUCCUAGAAAGAGUUGCAGGUCAUGAAUUUUAUUGUUUCCUAAAUGGCUAUUCAGGUUACAACCAAAUUGAAAUUGCAUUGGAAGAUCAAGAGAAGACUACUUUUACAUGUCCAUUUGGUACUUUUGCAUAUCGAAAGAUGCCUUUUGGAUUAUGUAAUGCACCAGCCACAUUUCAAAGAUGCAUGCUCAGUAUAUUUAGUGAUAUGGUUGAACGUUUUCUUGAAAUUUUUAUGGAUGAUUUUUCUGUUUUUGGCGAUUCAUUUGAUGAUUAUUUGACUAACUUAGAAAAGGUUUUGAGCAGGUGUGAAGAGAAGAAUCUUGUAUUGAAUUGGGAAAAAUAUCACUUUAUGGUAACAAACGGAAUUGUGCUUGGUCACAUUGUUUCAUUGAAAUGAAUUGAGGUUGACAAAUCUAAAAUCGAGUUAAUUGUUAACUUGCCAACACCAAAAUUAAAGAUGUUAGAUCAUUCUUAGAACAUGCUGGUUUUUAUAGAAGGUUCAUGACACGAUCAAAGAGUUGAUGUCUUAUCCCAAGUGCAGGAGUGUCAAAGUAAUAAAUAACCAGGCAAGACUGGGGUCGAACCACAGGGAGGUCAACUAUAUAAAUUACAAAUAAAGAUAAAGAUUUGAAGAGAAUAAUAACAUAAAAGGAGUUGAAGAGAGUUUUGGGAUGUGAUAUUGAUGUAAGGAUUAAACAAUGAUAAAACAGAUGUCAAGGUUAGAUGAUUCACUAAUGGUAUUUCAAAUAAAUAUAAUAUAAACUCUUUUUAUUACUCAACUGGAAACCACACACAAAGGAGGUUCCAAUCAGAUGAUUUAUUGUUAUUAGCUCAUUAUAAAUUAUUAACAUGAUCAUAUUAAUCAUCUUGUCUAAGUAACACCAUACUUAUAAAUAUCAUCAGGCAUUCAUGUUGCUAGCUUAUGUUAACAACAAAUCAAGUUCCUCUCAUAACAACGAUGUCGGUCGAAAACUAUGAAGAAUCAAGCAUUUGAUGUACCAAGUGUUAUAUAACACAAAUCUAGAUUAACCAUUUAACAAGCAAGGUAUUAAGAAUUAGUAAGAUAAAAAGAUAAGACAUGUUAAUAGCAAACUUUCUUGGAUAUAAACAUUGAAGUCCAUGUUGAGUUUAUAUUAUACAUAUUCUAACACCAUUAGAGAAACCUUUUUACCUUGACAUAAUAAACUUAGCUAAACAUAAUGAAGAAGAAGAACAUAAAUAAACUAGAUAAGAACAUAGUUAUGAUGAAAAGCAUAAACAAGAAAUUAAUGAAAGCAAAACUUAAGCAUUACAAAAUAUAAAAAAAGAAAGUAAGAACAUGAUCUUGAUCUAAAAACCAAGAUGACUAAAUACAUGGCAAAUGCCUCCUUUUAUAGGCUAAGAUGUGGAACUAUUGAUUGGUUGACAAACUAUUUGGAUGGUGGCCAACCACUGAUUUGGUGGCUGGUUUUUGACAUUAUUGGCUGCUGGUUAUUGACAUUGUUGGCUGGUUAUUGAUAUUGUUGGCUGGCCAAAACGUCAUUUCUAACAUCAUAAAUUGAGCCAUUUGUUCCAUGAAAUCUGUGGGCAAUUGUCUUAGCUUUCCAACAAAAAAAACCAGAGCUCAUUUGGACUUCUAGAACUCAAGAUAUGAGCUGAAAAUCAAACAGUGUUUGAGCUGCAGGACAGGUUCGGACUUCUCCAUUGUUGCUAAGAUUUGAACUUGAAAACGGUAGAAUUGAGUCUUGGACUCUUCAUGAAAGUUUUAGGUCUAUGUCUUAACUUUCCAUCCAUAUAAAGUAGACCUAAAUCAGAGUUCUACAACUCCAGUUAUGAUCCAAUAACCGAAUAGUGUUCCAGUUUGGAAUUGAACCAGCAUCUCUUCUCUUAGCCUAGUCCUUCUUUUGUCUCUUCACUUUCAAUAGUUAAUCACAUCAAUCAAUCCUUUGAAUUGUGAGAUAUACCUGCAUUCAAAAUAAGCAUUUACCAUAAAUUAAAGAUAUAUUAUAUUAUCAGAUUUGUUAUUAUAAAACAUGCUUUAGUUAGGGAAUUUAAUGAUACUUUAGUGCAAUAUGAUGAUAUAAAGCCUUAAUAAAAAUGCACUUUUAAGUACUAAUCAGUUCAUCAAAGAUUUUAGUGUAAUAUCUAAGCCCUUGAGUAACCUUCUAACAAAGGAUAAUAUUUUUUAAUGGACUGAACAUUGUGAAGAAGCUUUUGUUAAACUUGUUGCUACCUAAUUUUUUACCCAUGUUUUGAUAAAAAAAUUUUAAAAAAUAAAAAAUAAAAAUAAAAGGAUUUACAUGUGGCGAUAACAUAGAGCAUCAGGGUUAAGGAAACAAUAUGUCAAGGAGAUAAUUACUGAAUCAUAUAUAACUACUGCAAUAUAAAAUACCAUAGAUAUAUGAUUUGAUUCGUGCUGUUUAGGAAAAAUAAUCACUGCAAUAGAAAAAUACCAUAUAUAUAGGAUUUGUUGGUGCUGGUUAUAGAAGACAAUCUCUGUAAUAAUUAUUAUAAUAUUUCUUUAAAUAACACGUAUAGAGAUUUUCUAUAUAAAUGAACAUCCAGCCAUAUACAGAGGGGGGGAAGAAAAUUUACAGAGGACAAAUUUUUUUUAAAGAGAGAAAUUUAGGGCAACCAUAAAAAAACCUAAACCUAAUUUUUUUCUCUCGGCCGAAAACAAGCCAUCGCCCCCUCUCCCCUGUUGUUUUUUUGGUUUGCAGUCUCCCCCCCAGCUAUCUUCUUCUCCUCCCUCAGCUCCCACACGCAUGACCUUCCCUUUACGCAAAAAGAGGCUUUUAAAGCGCUCUGAAUUUCCUUAGAUUUCUAAAUUUUUGUCUCUCCUCCUUGCGAUUUACGAGUCGCAAAACUCUUGAAAUACUAAGGGAAAAAUGAGCUUUUAAAGCACAUGGAAUCUCUUUGGAUUUCUAUCUUAAUAAAUUUAGUCUGAAUCAAACACAGAUUUCAAGAGAUCUGCAUCGGUUCUCCUUGGUACUUUGUAGACAUAUCUAAGGGUGUGAUCCACAUUGACCAAGGGUUAUUUCUUUUUUAAAACUUUCAGUCCAAGUUUGUUCGUCAUAGCAAAAUGUAUCCUAGGAAAACACCAACACCAUAACAAUUAUAAAGCAAACCAAACACCAAGCAGCUUACCUUAGGUAGGGCGUGCUAGGGGUGCUAAUACCUUUCCUUUACGCAACCAGUCCCUUGCCUUAAAAUCUCUGAAAGACCAGUUAGGUUUCCUAGUGACCAUAAUACUAGGUGGCGACUCUAUUAUUCACAAAACAAAAGACCCCGAAAUCAAUCGAGGAUCGCCGCGACACCGCGCUCCGCUCGCGAGGGUGCGACAGGAUGGCGACUCCACUCGGGACCCUAGGACUAAGCUUGGUAAUUGUUUUUUUUAUUAUGCUAUGUGUUGUUUGUUUUCUUAUAUGAAUGAUACUUUGUUUAAAAGCUUUAGCAUGCAUCUUUACAUUCUGUCAUACAUGGUAUAGUCAUGCAUCACUUUAUUAUUAUUAUCUUUUUUAGGGCACACACAUUUAACUUUAAGUUAAGUGGGGAACUAGCAACUUGCCUUAUGACUUGAGUCAAGGUUUAAGUUUGUGUAAACCCCAACUCUUUGCUGAGUGUUUAGAUUGAUAUUGAUUGAUACAUGUGCCAUCCCACUAUCUGCUAAACCCCCAUAUUACCUUUACGAGGGCGAUCACUGGGACAGCAAGAGACCCUUUUUUAGAGACCACGUAGUAAACCUACCAUAUGUCUCACGUAAAAGAACUAGAACCUAUCCUUAGGUUGUAUGCUCCAUAAUAUCUUUUGCAUCAAAACUAGUCUAACCCCAAGGCAUCUUGAAUUCCAGGACUUGUGAACGAAAUGGCCACCAUCACUAAAUCUUCCAUCAUAGAGUAUGGGAAAAAUUCUGAACUGUCACAAUUGACUGAAGGAGACUGCCUUAGAAGCGAUGCUAAGAAGAUGUCACCAAUCAAGAACCUGAAUUGCAUUAUGAAUGAGGUGAACAAGUUAACGACUCAUUUUCAGAAUGUUGAUAAAGAUGCAUUUUUUAGGAAAUACGGACGUUUGGUGGAAAUUGCAAAGGUAGAAGUUUUAAGCCCAGCUGUGCGAGCUUUAGUUCAUUUUUGGGAUCCAGACUACCGGUGUUUUUCUUUUGGAAACAUAGACCUAUGUCACACUAUUGAGGCAUAUGGGAUAUUGACUGAGUUUCCAAACAAUCUGUAUCAGAUUUAUUUGCCUUUGAGAUCUGACAAGAUCAUCCCCGAACUGUCAAAACUGCUCAGAAUCUCCAACUUAGAAAAGUUUUUGGAAAAGAAUGCUAUCGGUUUGAAAUGGAGGAUGCUAGAAAUUGAACUUGAAAAGAAGUCAGGAUUAGAAAAAGAGAGAUUGAUUGCCUUGGGCGUAUUUGGCCUUGUGUUGUUCCCAAGCCAGACGGGUGUAGUGAGUUUGAAGGCCGCUGCUGCUUAUGUAGAGUAUGAGAAUACACAAAUCAAUCCAAUGGCUGCUAUUUUAGCCGAAACCAUCUUGACACUUAACCAUUGUAGGAGGACCGGAAAAGGAGCAAUGAGAUGCUGCACGUAAUUGUUGUAUAUCUGGAUGGUUAGCCAUAUCGAAAUAAAAAAGUCUGUCUUCAAUAAUUUUUGGUGGUUCACCCAAAGACCCCUGAAGGUAGUAGAAGAAGAAGAAUGGGGAGAUCUAGACAACCAAGGUUGGGUUGAAAAAUUAGAAGGUUUGCCUAAUAGUGAUUUUAAGUGGAAAGCCCCAUGGGUAACGACAGUGAAAGUCCUAAUGAGUUGUGGACAAAGACGUUGGGUGCCAUUGGUAGGGAUUACAGGUUAUGUGAGUUAUGCUCCUGCCCUAGUGGUAAGGCAACUUGGGGGCAUGCAGUUUGUUCCAAGGACUAUGGGAAUUGCUCAGUUCUUUGGUUUGUUCAAAGAUCCUGUUGCACAAGAAGUUUUGGAGAUCAUUAAACAAGAUUGAAAGCAUCUGGUUUUGGUUGAGAUAGAAGGUUUAAAGGAUCCAAGUGCAAGUGAAGGAUAUGCAAGAUGGAGAGACUUAGCAGCUUCAGCCAUGCCUUGUGUAGGAGUCAAAUCUCCCCAAACUGUAGAAGAGCCUAUUAAGAGGAAAAGGGUCAAUAAUGAAGAGGAGUUGAGAAGACAAGUGGAAAAACUUCGGAUAGAGUUGAGCAAAAGCAGAGAAGACAAGGCAAUGUUGGAAGAAAUGAUGCUAAAAGAAGAUAAAAGGAGAGCAUUUCUAGAUGAGCAAAUACAAUCUAGAGAUGCGCGAAUAACAAAGCUUGAGUUAAAGCUGGGUGAGGAGAAGAUUGCUAGGGAAAGAAGUGAGAAGAAGCUAAGAAGGAUGAGUUUGGAUUGGAUGCAAAGUUGCUCUAAACUUGAAGCAAUAGAGAUUGACUUUAACGAUUGCUAAGCAAGUGCAUAAUAUUACCAAGAAAAAUUUGCACAAGUCCAGUUCGAACUGAUGGAUAGGAUUGGGAAGUAUGAGGAUUUGAACAAGAAAUAUAUGGAGUUAGAAAGCCGUUCGAUGGGGAUUGCAAAAAAAGAAAGUAAAAGGAAAGGUUUUGAGGUGGUUGAAAUAGAAUUAGCGGUUAAGAAGAAUGAGAUAAAAGUUAUGAGGAUAAAACUUGACAAGGAACGUGAAAAGGUGAAGUAUUUGAACGAGAAGCUAGCAGCAAUGGAAAAACACAAGGAUCAAAUCGACGCCAAUAACACUGCUUUGAACAGAACCAAUAUGUUGCUCAUAGAAAAGAUGACCAAGACAGAUGAGCAAAUGGACGAAGCUGCUGCACAUGCUCGAAUUAUUAGAAUCAAUACGCGGAAUGUGGGAGGGGACAUCAUUCGCUAUCGCCGAAGUCUAGCUGAAACCGAUGCCUUUCUAGGGAAGAUUGAGAACCACGACUUUGCCUUAUUACCUUUGGCUAGAGAGUUUGUGGAGGAAAGGGAUUAACAUGUUGUAUUUCCUUUUUAUUUCUAAAUGUAAUAAACUUAUCAAACAUUAAUGAAAAGGGCGUUGACCCAUCUUCUUAUGCAAAAUCUGUCUCUUGGUGAAUAUGAUUCAAGCAAACGACCUGAAAGGCAGUACUCCUAUCAAAGCAAUGUGACAAGAGAACCUAUGUUUAUAAUGUGGUGGCUAUUAUUCGUUCACAAGAAGGCUGCAUCCAUACCCAAUGUACAAAUGCAUUCUUAUCACAAUCAUGCAUUAUAUCAUGCAUUUUCUUAUACAUCUAUGCACGCAUAUGCAGACCUAGAAAUAUAGGUCCCCCUUCUAGAAUCCACAACACUUAACUAAGAAAAAGGAUGGAAAAUAAAGAAAGGUCACACCAAAAAGCUCAGUACCAAAAAGAGAUUGAAGGAGUUUGGAAUGAUGUUGCGCACCUAAUCGGUUUUCUCAUGCAAAUGUUUUGAGACAACUUUUUCCUUUUAAUGAGAUCAUGCAUUUCCAAAAGUUCAUCUUGGUGUUUUUACACAUCACUUUCCGUUUUCAAACUGGAUCUUCCAUAAUAACAUCUACACUUUACACUGAGAUUGAAUGGCUGGACUUUAAAGAAUACAUAUUAGUUGUAGAAGAAGAAGAAUGAGAGGAAAUUAACAUUAGGGGAUUCACAAAAAUUAAUAAGAACAACAUGAACAAGCUUGGAAACCCGCUAAAGAGGAAUUUGAAACCAUAGAUGUGGGCAAUGAAAAAAUCAAGAGAGAGUUGAAGAUAGGGACUUUGAUCACCCCUAAAGAAAGAGAAGAGUUGAUUAUACUACUCCAAGAUUAUGUAGAUUUUUUUUUUCCUGGUCCUACAAGGAUAUGCCUGGUUUGUAUAAGGUACCACUAGUAGAAGGAUGCAAAUCGGUUAAGCAAAGGUUGAGAAGGACCAAUUUGAAUGUCUUGAUCAAGGUAAAGACAUAAAUUGAAAAGUAGUGGAAUGCUGGUUUUCUAGAAAUAGUCAAGUAUCCGCAAUGUGUGUCUAACAUAGUGGUAGUACCCGAAGAGGAAGAGAAAAUCAGAGUUUGUGUGGACUUUAAGGACUUAAACCGGACUAGCCCUAAAGACAAUUUUUUUCUAUCACACAUAGAUAUGUUAGUUGACAAUGCAGCUCGUAGCCCCAUAUAUUCCUUUAUGGACGGGUUUUCGGGCUACAAUAAGAUAAAAAUGGCGCAAGAGGAUAAUGAGAAGAAACCUUUGUAACACUAUGGGGAACCUUUUGCUACAAAGUCAUGCCAUUUGGGUUAAAGAACGUUGGGGGCACCUACCAAAGGGCCAUGUUGACUCUAUUUCACGACAUGAUGCACAAAGAGAUUGAAGUAUACGUGGAUGACAUGAUUGCUAAAUCUAGAGAGGGAGAGAACCAUGUCCAAAUAUUGAAGGAAUUAUUUGAAAGAUUAAGAAAGUACAAGUUGAGGCUUAACCAUGCAAGGUGUUCAUUCGAGGUGAAAUCUAUGAAAGUUGUUGGGAUUUAUGAUGAGUGACAAAAGGAUAGAAAUGGACCCCGGUUAAGUAAAGGCUAUUCAAUCUAUGCCAACUCCCAAGACUGAGAAGGAUGUAAGAAGGUUCUUGGGAAGGUUGAAUUACAUUGCUCGGUUUAUAUCCCAAUUAACCACAACUUGUGACUCAAUCUUCGAUUGUUAAGGAAGAAGAAUCUCGGAAUUUGGAAUAAGAGUGUGAAGAAGCUUUCGAGAAAAUCAAGUAAUACGUAUUGAAUCCACCCCUAUCUAUCAAGCCGAAUUGCAAAAUGGCAAGUUCUACUGGCUGAGUACGACAUAGUAUAUAUGACAUGGAAAGCCAUGAAAGGGAGUGUUAUUGUCGAUCACCUUACCGACCAUGCUAGGGAAGAUAUUGAGUAAUUAAAAUUUGACUUUCCUGAUGAAGAUGUGCUUUCAGUUGAGGAAGGGAAAUUAGAUUGGUGGACUAUGUACUUUGAUGGUGAUGUAAAUGUAUGUGGUAACAGAGCUGAUGCAAUGAUAAUCUCUCCUAAUAAAAAGCAAUAUUCGGUUUUAGUUAAGUUGCAGUUUGGGUGCAAUAACAACAUAAGAGUAUGAAGCUUGCAUUUUCGUUUUAGAGGUGACAUUGGAGCAGAAUAUUAGAAAGAUAGAUAUGUAUGGAGACUCAAUUUUGAUUAUUUUCCAAGAGAAAGGAAAAUGACAAACCAAUGACGAGAAGUUGAGACCUUACCAAGAAUACCUGUCUAAAUUGGCUAGAGAAUUUGAGGAAAUAAAGUUCACCCAUCUAGGAAGGGAAGGAAACCAUUUUGCUGACGCUUUGGUCACAUUAACUUAUAUGGCUAGAAUAGACUUUGGGCAUAAGGUACAGUCGGUACGCAUUAAUAUCAGAAAUAACCCAGCUCAUUGUUGCUUAGUUGAAAGAGAAAAAGCUGGAAACCCUUGGUACUAUGAUAUCAAGAAUCUCAUCCAAAACCAGACAUAUCACAUUGGGGCAUCCAAAAUCAACAAAAGGACUUUGAGGAGGUUGGCAAUGGAUUUCUAUCUUGAUGGGGAAACUUUGAAUAAGAAAUCAUUUGACGGAACUUUGUAGAGAUGUUUGGAUGACAUGGAGGUAAAAAGUGGUGAAGAAAUUUAUGGAAAGAGAUUUGAUCUGUCAAUAUGGUCCACUAGAAAAGAUUAAUAAUGCCCAGAACUUCAAUAACAAGAUGAUAAUAAAACUCUAUGCUAAAUGGAAAAUCAAGCAUUCCAAUUCCUUGCUAUAUAGGCCAAAGAUGAAUGGUGUUGUAGAAGCUGCUAACGAAAAUGUCAAGAAGAUUGUUUAGAAGAUGAUAGUCACCUACAAGGAUUGGCAUGCGAUGUUGCCAUUCGCCCUUCACGCGUACUGCACUGCAAUCCGAACCUCAAUAGGAGCCACCCCGUAUAUAUUGGUGUAUGGAAUGGAGGCAGUGAUGCCUUUAGAAGUUGAAAUCCCCUCAUUAAGAGUAUUGAUAGACUCCGAGCUAGAAGAGGUAGAGUGAGUAAAAGUUAGAGAUGAAUAGUUGAAUCUGAUCAGUGGAAAGAGGAUAGCCGCAAUCUGUCAUCAAAGAAGGAUGGCCAAAUUAUACGACAAGAAGGUUCGACCUCGAGGAUUCCACUAAGGAGAUCUUAAACUGAAGAAAAUAUUGCCUUUUACCAGGAGAAGAUCAGAGUAAAUGGGCGUCAAACAAUGAGGGCCUUUUCGUGGUAAAGAAAGCAUUCUCAGGAGGAGCUUUAUUGUUAUCUAGAAUGGAUAGAGAAGAUCUAGUUAAACCUAUGAAUGCUGACUCUAUAAAGAAAUACUAUGCUUCCCAGUCAAUAAAAGAAAGUCCGGCCAUGCUCUUUGUAAAGAACCCUUUUUUUCAUAAAACGUAUGAUCUCAUAGCAUUUGAAAUCUUUUACUUAAAAGAACUGUUUUUUUUUAACGCAUGACUAAGGAGAUGACUCCAUCAAUUGGAGAGAACCAAAUCAAAUCUAAACUUGACAUAUUUUUGCACACCACACUGGGGGCAAGAAGUGCACGAAGUACACAUAGGGGUCCAUAGUGAACCAAAGCCCAAAGGGGUAUCAUCAUAAAAACUUCUAAAAAACAUCUUUUAUGAGAAUUGCUAAUUGUAUUGAAAGUUUCAGUUUUCAUGAACAAAACCAAAUCUUUUGAGUUUUCCUUUUAAAAUAAUAAUAAAAGACAAUACUCAAUGGAGCAAGAAAGGGCCCCAUAAGGAACCAAAGAUCUCUUCACCAAGAGGAUAGGAAGUAUAGCACGUGGAGUAUAUUCCAUUUCAAGAGGACGAGUCGGACAAACAAAUGAAAACAGGAGCUCAAUAAGUCUACAACAGAAAGAGGGACCUAUGUUUCCAAAAUAGGUAACAAAAAAAAAAGCAUGCAUGCUAUAUUGUCAUAACACUAACCUGGCAGGAGAAGGUGUGACGAAAGCCAAAAUAGUUCCAAGUUUUUGGGAAAACCGUUGAGGUACAAAAUCUCAUGUCAACGGAACUACGGAAAAGGAUAGGAAUUGUGAACCAGCACUACUUCAUUUCCUCGAGGUAAGAUGUUUUCUUUUAAAGUUUGAGAUGGGCAGGUCACCCAAUAUUGAGACCAUUUCUUAGAAAAACGUGGAGUUUUCUAAGAAUUUUAAGAUGGGCCGGUCACCUGAUAUUGAGACUGUUUCUUAGAAAAGCGUGGAGUUUUUUAAGAAUUUUAAGAUGGGCAGGUCGCCCGAUAUUGAGACCAUUUCUUAGAAAAACAUUGAGUUUUCUAAGAAUUUUAAGAGGGGCCGGUUACCUGAUAUUGAAACCGUUUCUUAGAAAAGCGUGGAGUUUUCUAAGAAUUUUAAGAUGGACCGGUCACGUGAUAUUGAGACUGUUUCUUAGAAAAGCGUAGAGUUUUCUAAGAAUUUUAAGAUGGGCAGGUCACCCGAUAUUGAGACCAUUCCUUAGAAAAGCAUGGAGUUUUCUAAGAAUUUUAAGAGGGGCCGGUUACCUAAUAUUGAAACCGUUUCUUAGAAAAGCGUGGAGUUUUCUAAGAAUUUUUAAGAUGGGCCGGUCACCUGAUAUUGAGACCGUUUCUUAGAAAAGCGUGGAGUUUUCUAAGAAUUUUAAGAUGGGCAGGUCACCUGAUAUUGAGACCGUUUCUUAGAAAAACGUGGAGUUUUCUAAGAAUUUUUGGAGGGGCCUGUCACCCGAUAUUAAGACUGUUUCUUAGAAAAGCGUGGAGUUUUCUAAGAAUUUUAAGAGGGGUCGGUCACCUAAUAUUGAAACCGUUUCUUAGAAAAGCAUGGAGUUUUCUAAGAAUUUUAAGAGAGGUCGGUCACCUGAUUUUGAGACUGUUUUUUUAGAAAAGCGUGGAGUUUUCUUAAAAAAAAAGUUUAAGGUGGGCAGGUCACCCGAUAUUGAGACCAUUCCUUAGAAAAGCGUGGAGUUUUCUAAGAAUUUUAGGAGGGGCCUGUCACCCGAUAUUGAGACCAUUUCUUAGAAAAGCGUGGAGUUUUCUAAGAAUUUUAAGAGGGGCCGGUCACCUGAUGUUGAAACCGUUUCUUAGAAAAGCAUGGGGUUUUCUAAGAAUUUUAAGAGGGGCCGGUCACCUGAUUUUGAGACCGUUUUUUUUAAAUAAGCGUGGAGUUUUCUUUAAAAAAAAGUUUAAGGUGGGCAGGUCACCCGAUAUUGAGACCGUUCCUUAGAAAAGCGUGGAGUUUGCUAAGAAUUUUAGGAGGGGCCUGUCACCCGAUAUUGAGACCAUUUCUUAGGAAAACGUGGACUUUUCUAAUAAUUUUAAGAGGAGCCGACCACCUGAUAUUGAAACCAUUUCUUAGAAAAGCGUGGAGUUUUCUAAGAAUUUUAAGAUGGACCGGUCACUUGAUAUUGAGACCAUUCCUUAGAAAAGCAUGGAGUUUUCUAAGAAUUUUAAGAUGGGCAGGUCACCCGAUAUUGAGACCAUUCCUUAGAAAAGCAUGGAGUUUUCUAAGAAUUUUAAGAGGGGUCGGUUACCUAAUAUUGAAACCGUUUCUUAGAAAAGCGUGGAGUUUUUUAAGAAUUUUUAAGAUGGGCCGGUCACCCGAUAUUGAGACAAUUUUUUAGAAAAGCAUGGAGUUUUCUAAAAAAAUAUUUUGAGGUGGGCAGGUCACCCGAUAUUGAAACCAUCCCUUAGAAAAGCGUUGAGUUUUCUAAGAAUUUUAAGACGGGCCUGUCACGCGAUAUUGAGACCAUUUCUUAGGAAAGCGUGGAGUUUUCUAAGAAUUUUAAUUUGGGUAGGUCACCCGUCAUAAUGUGACCAUCUUUCAUUUUGGGUAGGUCACCCGUCAUAAUGAGACCACACACACAUUUUUGUAUUGGUUGUGGUUAAAGGAGAUCACCAGAUGGGAUCUCAGGUUAACCCAACCACACACAGAGUUUACCUUUGGUUAAAGGGAAUCGCCAGAUGGGAUUUCAGGUUGACCGAGCUACACACCGACUUUGCUUCGGAUUAAAGGAGAUCGCCAGAUGGGAUCUCAGGUUAACCCAACCACACAGAGUUUAGUUUUGGUUAAAGGGAAUCGCCAGAUGGGAUUUCAGGUUAACCGAGCUACACACCGACAUUGCUUCGGAUUAAAGGAGAUCGCCAGAUGGGAUCUCAUAUUAACCCAACCACACACAUAGUUUAGCUUUGGUUAAAGGGAAUCGCCAGAUGGAUUUCAGGUUAACCGAGCUACACACCGACUUUACUUCAGAUUAAAGGAGAUUGCCAGAUGGGAUCUCAGGUUAACCCAAUCAAAAGGGUAGGUCGACCGUGAAAAUAGACCAGCAUGAGUAUGUGGGUAGGUCGCCCCUGAAAAUAGACCAGGUUUGAGUGUGUGUGAGCAGGUCGCUCGUGAAAAUAGACCAAUUUUCUUUUUUUAAAAAAGACAGGUCACCCAUGAUAACUAGACCAUUUUCUUUUAAAAAGUGAAGUCCUUGGAUGAGUAGAUCAUUCAAAAAGCAAGGAAGACUUUUUUUUUCUUUACAAGCUUACUAUGCAAAACAUUAAGGAGUUUUGCUUCGUAAGCAUUGUAAAGAGGGGGUAUCUGUUGCUACCUAAUUUUUGACUCAUGUUUUGAUAAAAAAAUUUUAAUAAAUAAAAAAUAAGAAUUUACAUGUGGCGAUAACAUAGAGCAUCAGGGUUAAGGAAGCAAUAUGUCAAGGAAAUAAUUAGUGAAUAAUAUAUAAUUACUGCAAUAUAAAAUACCAUAGAUAUAUGAUUUGAUUCGUGCUGUUUAGAGAAAAUAAUCACUGCAAUAGAAAAAUACAAUAUAUAUAGGAUUUGUUGGUGCUGGUUAUAGAAGACAAUCUUUGUAAUAAUUAUUAUAAUAUUUCUUUAAAUAGCACGUAUAGAGAUUUUCUAUAUAAAUGAACAUCCAGCCAUAUACAGAGGAGGGGAAAAAAUUUACAGAGGACAAAUUUUUUUUAAAGAGAGAAAUUUAGGGCAACCAUAAAAAAACCUAAACCUAAUUUUUUUCUCCUGGCCGAAACCAAGCCAUCGCCCCCUCUCCCCUGUUGUUUUUUUGGUUUGCAGUCUCCCCCCCCCCAGCUAUCUUCUUCUCCUCCCUCAGCUCCCACAUGCACGACCUUCCCUUUUCAGCUAAAGACAAACUCACGGUCUUCUCUCCCAACCAAGAGGCAGCCGGCGCCGCUCUCCCUCUCCACAACAGCCGUCACUGCUCCUCCCCCUUUCUCAAUCAAGACUUUCCCUCUGCACACAAGCUUCUCUUCUCCCUUCGCCAGACCUCACUUCCCUAGCUUGCAACAACUAUGAACACCACUUACAGGCCUUCACUCUCUGUCAACACAACCCCAGGAAAAGACUCUCCAUUCAUCCCAUCUCUCCCUCAGCUCAGCCCCGCCUGAUAAACAUUCAAAACCAGAAGCCACAGCCAGCCCUUCCCCCGACAGUAACAGAGAAGCAACACCAGAACCUCAGACUGGCCUCCCUUGAAAAAUCCCAGCAGCUAGCAGCACCACCUCUGCUGAACCAUGGCCAGCACCAACAGCAACCAGGAACGAGUUGAGCCACUCGCCCAGUUGUAGCCUCCUCCACAGCCAUAUCCUUCCUCAGCCGCAGUGAUGGAACCAGCAGAAGCCACACCUUUCCUCGACCGCAGUAGCAGAAUCAGCAGAAGUCAUCCUUCCCUUCCAGCAACACGAGAACAGAGGGAGUUUCUUUCCUUCAUCCUUUCGUUACUGUGAGAAAGGAAAACAGAACAGAGGAGAGGGAGAGAAGAGAAACGAAAGCAAAACAAACCGGAAAGAACAGAGACGCAAGAGAAAAGCAAGCGAGCGCAGACAGUGAGGACUGGAGAAACCGGGUUCGCCAGCAGACCAGGUAAGCUGUCUCUCUUUUCUUACCAGCUUUGCAUGCAUUCUUGGUUGCAUUGUUACUGUUCAAGUGAAAUUUAAUACACUUGAACAGUAACCAGCCAAGGCAUGCGUGAGGAAACUCACGCAUGCCUUUGUGCCCAGUCGGGUCACUGGUUUGGGUCAGUGACCCGGCUAUGCCUGCUGGGUUCAGCCCAGCCACAUGGGCCGAGCUGGACCCAGCCCCUAAAAAAACGAGUAAUAUCAUUUUUUUAUUUAAUUUGUGGUUUUUUUAUAUUUUUAUAUUGUAAAAACAUAAAUCUUGUAUUUAAAAUACCUGGUUUUCAACGCAAUGUGACAAAUAUAUAUAUAUAUAUAUAAAAUGUUUUCAUGCAUACGACCAAUACUCUAAAUGUUUUGAAUGUUUUUUUUAUAUAAAAAAAAAAUAUUGGAAGUUUCAAAAAUGUGUUUUCGCAUGGAUUUCUUAAACACAACAAAAAUUAUUUUCUUGCAUUUCUAGAACACAACAAAAAUUAUUUUCUUGCAUUUCUAGAUUUUACAACAUGUUUGUAAAACUCCAAAGGGUAUUGGUCAAUAUUCCAAAAAAUAUAAAAAUCUUAUUUUGGAGGAAAUUCAUCUAUUAUUCACCGCUAAUGUUUGGAUAAAAAAAUCCUUAAAGGACGAAUAUCCAAAAUAUUAUUGGGAAUAACUUGUUAUUAUUCGCUGUUAAUGUUUGGAUAAAAAAACCCCAAGUGGUUAAUAUCCAAAAUAUUUUUCUAGGAAUAAUAAGUCAUCGCACAUCGUUGAAAGAAGCCUCGAUUAUAAUUUAGGACAUUUUAAUUUUUGACUCCAUGGUUUACAAGCCAUAAAAAUAUGAAACAAGGCAAAAAGAGGCUUUUAAAGCGCUCUGAAUUUCCUUAAAUUUCUAAAUUUUUGUCUCUCCUCAUUGCGAUUUACGAGUCGCAAAACUCUUGAAAUACUAAGGGAAAAAUAAGCUUUUAAAACACAUGGAAUCUCCUUGGAUUUCUAUCUUAAUAAAUUUAGUCUGAAUCAAACAUAGAUUUCAAGAGAUCUGCAUCGGUUCUCCUUGGUACUUUGUAGACAUAUCUAAGGGUGUGAUCCAGAUUGACCAAGGGUUAUUUCUUUUUUAAAACUUUCAAUCCAAGUUUGUUCGUCAUAGCAAAAUGUAUCCUAGGAAACACCAACACCAUAGCAAUUAUAAAGCAAACCAAACACCAAGCAGCUUACCUUAAAUAGGGCGUACUAGGGGUGCUAAUACCUUCCCUCUAUGCAACUAGUCCCUUGCCUUAGAAUCUCUAAAAGACUAGUUAGGUUUCCUAGUGACCAUAAUACUAGGUGGCGACUCCAUUAUUCACAAAACAUAACACCCCGAAAUCAAUUGAGGAUCGCCGCACUCUGCUCGUGAGGGUGCGACAAAACUUAAAAACUUACGUACUUCUGCUCUUGUCAUUCAACCUCUUUAUUGGUCACUACCUUUUGAAAUAACGUGUGAUGCUUGUGAUUAUGUCGUGGGUGCUGUCUUGGGACAAAGAAAAGAUAAGAAACCUUAUAUGAUUUACUAUGCAAGUAAAACUUUAAAUAGUGCUUAAAUGAAUUACACCACCAUUGAAAAAGAAUUACUUGCAAUAGUAUUUGUUUGUGAAAAAUUCAGGUCUUAUCUUGUUGGCUUACCUGUUGUUGUUUUUAGUGAUCAUGUUGCACUGAAAUAUCUUUUUUCUAAGAAAGAUUCUAAGGCUAGAUUGGUGCGGUGAAUUUUGUUACUUCAAGAAUUUGAUAUCACAAUUAAAGACAAGAAAGACACCAAAAAUGUUGUCGCAGAUCAUUUGUCAAGAUUGACAACAGAUUUGAAAUUUGACAUCACACCAAUCAAUGACUACUUUCCUGAUGAAUCUUUACUAUCUGUCUCUACAAUGCCUUGGUUUUCUAAUAUUGUCAAUUUUCUUGUUUCAGGACAAUUGCCAGCUCAUUGGAGAACCCAAGAUAAAAGAAAGUUCUUGAACGAAGUGAAUAACUUUUAUUGGGAUGACCUUUAUUUAUUCAAAUAUUGUCCUGAUCAAAUAUUUCAAAGAUCCAUUCCUGACAAUGAGGUAAGUAGUGUCAUUAAAUUUUGUCAUUCUGAGGCAUAUGGGGGCCAUUUCUCAUCAAGAAAGACAACUCCAAAAAUCUUACAAAGUGAAUUUUACAGGCCCACCAUGUUCAAGGACUCACAUGCAUUCUGCAAGACUUGUGAAAAUUGUCAAAAGUUGGGAUCUAUUUCAAAACGUCACAUGAUGCCUUUAAAUCCAAUUCUUGUCAUUGAGAUCUUUGACUGUUGGGGUAUAGAUUUCAUGGGUCCAUUUCCUCCAUCAUUUGGUUUCUUGUACAUAUUAGUCGCAGUAGAUUAUGUUUCAAAAUGGAUACAGGCAAUUCCAAGUCGAAACAAUAACCACAAAACAGUGAUAAAGUUUUUGAAAAAAAAUAUUUUGAGUCCAUUUGGAAUCUCUCGAGCCAUGAUAAGUGAUGGUGGAACACAUUUCUGCAACAAGUCAUUUGAGUCUUUAAUGAAGAAAUAUGGAAUCACACACAAAGUUGUCACCCCUUAUCACCCUCAGACAAGUGGACAAGUAGAGCUUGCUAAAAGGGAGAUCAAACAAAUCUUGGAGAAAACAGUAAACCCUAAUAGGAAAGACUAGUCUUUAAGACUUAAUGAUGCACUUUGGACUUAUUGAACUGCUUAUAAAACAUCAUUAGGUAUGUCACCUUAUAGAUUAGUCUAUGGAAAACCUUGUCACUUGCCUGUGGAACUUCAACACAAAGCUUAUGCUGAUGCCUUCAUUGCUUUACCAGGUGGGCUGGGCAUAUUGGAAGAGAUCUUUCAUAUUUCCUUUUGGGCCCAACUACACAUUCACCAUAAACCCAUAGAUCUGUUAAAUGUUAAUGGUUUUUAUGAUAAUUUGUUGUCUUUUCUUUAUCAAGCUGUGGAAUAACAAUUUCUAACAUCUUCAGCACGACAAAUCAUAAUCUCUGCUGUUACUACUAAACAAUUGAUUGACUAACUACAAUCUUUCAUCCUUGUAAUUGAUCUCUCCAUGAGUCGUAUAAAUUGGUCAACUAAGGAAAGCCGUAAAAAGCUUAGAUUGGAUUUGAGCCUUCGUUUGUGAAACCUUGUGUCCUUUGGUUUUAUUAAUAGCAUUUUAUUUUGUUUUGUUAUUUCUUAUAUUUGUUUAAGUGUGUUUCAGGUUUGCUAGUGUUCGUUGUUUCAGGUGAUGUCUUCUAUACUCUAUCUUUCUACCUUAGGACAUUGAGGACAAUGUCUCGUUCUAGUUGGGGGGAGAGGGUAGUAGUUGACAUAAAAAAAACUAACUUCUAACAGUUUUUGCUAUUAUUAAAACCAUUUGACAAAACUGUUAUUAGGAUGGCAGACUUUAAUGUUUGAUACUAACAUGUUUUGUAUUUGUUAUCUUGUUCACUUUUAAUAUUUUGCUUGUUAAAUGAUUAAUCUACAUUUAUGUUGUAUAAUCCUUGGUACAACAAAUACUUGGCACUUUCAUAGCCCAAACCGUAUGGUAUAACCGACACCUGUGCUAUGAAAGGAACUUGAUGUGUUGUUAACAUAAGUUAUAAUCAUGAAUGCCUGAUAACAUUUACAAGUAUUAGCAUUAUUCGAAUGAGAUAACUAAUGUAAUCAUGUUAACAAUUUAUAAUCUGAUUGGAACCUUCUUUGUGUGUGGUUUCCAGUUGAAUAAUAACAGUUUAUACUAUACUUGUUUGAAAUACCAUUAGUGGAUCCUCUAACCUUAACAAUUGUUUUUAUCAUUGUUUAAUACUUAUAACAAUAUCACAUCUCAAAGCUCUCUUCUUCUUCUUGUUAUUAUUAUUGUUGUUGUUGUUGUUGUCGUUGUUGUUGUCGUUGUUGUUGUUGUUGUUGUUGUAUUGUUGUUAUUUAUAAUUUUUAUAGUUAACCUUCUUGUGGUUCAACCCCUGUCUUGCCGGGUUAUUUAUUACUUUGACGCUCCUACACUUGGGAGAAGACAUCAAGCUUUUGGUCGUGUCAGCCCUAAUCAUGGUUUUGAAACAUGGAGAUUAGUUUCAUAUUUUUAUGAAGGGUUAACACCUAAAGAUAGACAAAUGGUGGAAUUAAUGUGCAAUGGAACUUUUGAAGAUUAAGACCCUAAUGAAGCAAUGGAGUACCUAGACUUGCUAGCUAAAAAUGCUCAAAAUUAAGACACUACAGGCACUUAUGAGGCACCAAAUAAAACUCAACCUCAUACAUCUAGUGGAGGAAUGUACAACCUUAGGGAAGAUCAUGACCUCCAAGCCAUGUUUGCAUCUUUAGCUAGAAAAGUCGAGGCACUAGAAUUGAAAAAGAGUGGUCAAUGUUGCGAUGUCGCAGUCGCACAAAUUCCUUACCCUAGCUUCAAACACAACACACAAGAUAAUAUAGAGCAAGCAAGGGGUCGAUCCCACGAGGAAGGUUCAAGUCAGAUUUUUAUGCUAGAUGAUAUGCAAUUUAGGGGGGGUUGGACGUUAUCUAGGCUAAAGCAAAAAAAAAUAGAAAACUAUCAAGUGAAAUUAAAUAAAAUGAGAAAAUUAUCAAGAGAACAAACCUUGGUCGCAAGCACACAUCCACUUAUAGAAAUCAGAACUGAUCAUGGAAACGAAACUUCAAUUUAUAUUCUGAAUAUUUAUCUCUUUUUAACAUUGGUUAGUUAACGGAUCCACCGUAUAACUAACCCUAACCAUCAAACAACCACAGUGUGCGCACUAGUAAUUUAAUUCAAUGACAGCCUUAAGAACUAGAUAAGUUGAUUAAUCAAGAAAAGUCUAUAGUUUAAGUUUGAUUUGAUUGAAUGUUCUCCCUAAGAUUAAUAACGUAGAUCCGCCACAAUUAUUAAACUCAAUUGCUUCACAAGUUCAUAUACCACAACUCUGGUUUUGAUAUCAAACUUAGCAAUAGAUUGUCUACAAUAAUAACUUAGAGUCCGCUCUAGCAAUUAAAAUAAACAAUCAUAGGAAAAAUAAGCAUAGAAGAACAAACAUAUUCAUCAUAUAAACUGAAAAGAAAAGGUAAAAUAAAUCUCAUAGUUCUUGAAAUCCAAAGUUUUCUGUGUCCUUGCAACCAAGAAAAAAGAGUUUAGCCUUGCAUGUUUGUUGAACAGCUAAUAAAAAAGGAGGAAUGCAUGAUUUUGGGUUUCUUAGAGGAAGGGGGCGUUUUUCUCUUCUGUGCUGGCUGCCCCCCCUUCGUUUCUCUCAUUGUUUUUAUAUCCUAGGAAACCCUAGUCUCUAUUUUACAAAAUAGUCCUCCCUUAAGUAGACAGUUUACAUUUAAGUACUUCAAUAACUAUUUUCCUAAAAAAGGAGGAAUAACCUUGCAUGAAAUCUUCAAGCUUUGACUUAGAGGAGCUAAAUUGCUGAAAUAAAAACUUGGAUAUUGGUUUAGAUGCUUCAGAACGCAAUUUGGACUCGUUUCUUCACGAAACCUGUUUGCUGGCAGAAUUCAGAUGUCAUCUUUGAAAAAUCAUAUCUCCCUCAUAUGACAUCUUUUUUUGCUGAACUUUGGAGCAUUGAUAGGCAUUUGAGUCAAGAAUCCAAUAUAAUUGAGUUUGAAUCAAUUGGACUUCUUUAACUUUAGAUAUUCAACUCGGAAUGGCCAAAGGUCAACACUGGCAGAUUGCGAGAUUUGACUUUGAAGGCUAUGAUUUCCAUGCUCUUCCUUAUUUUAUUUUCUUGCCUUAGAUGUCCAGAAAGUUAUGGAUGUUAGUCUUUUAAUCCCACUAGAAUCAUUUCAUUUCGACCUCUAGAGCUCAUGCUCUGCACAAAAGAUCGACUGAAGGUCAAAUUUGUCAAUUACCUCUAAUUUACUCAUUUUUGCAUCUUUCAUCCAAAAGUGCCUUCAAAACAUAAAAUAAAGAAUAUGAAGGCAUUUUAUAUAUAAAACAUAGGCAAAACACUAGUUAAAUGUGGGUGAAACUAUCGAAUAAUUGCAUCACUUUACCACAAUCAAUUUUUAUAUUUGCAGUUUUCAAGAAUGGUCUCCCAAACAAUAUAGGAGUGUUGUUUGAUGAAUCACAAGAAUCAUGUUUCAUAUCAAGAAUAUAAAAGUCACAUGGAAUGACCAAACUAUCAAUCUUGACUAGGACAUCUUCUAUCACACCAAGUGGGUAAACAAAACUACAAUCCGCAAGUUGUAUUACAAUGCUAGUUUUAUUCAAAGGCUCUAGACUAAGAGAAUCAUAAACAUGUUUAGGCAUAACACUAAUGGAUGCACCUAAAUCGCACAAGGCCCUUUUGAAACUAGUAUUACCAAUAACACAUGGGAUAGUAAACACACCUGGGUCUUUUUGCUUCAAAGACAUAUUCUUUUGAACAACAGCAGAUACAACUUCACCCAUACUUACCAUUUCAUGACCUUUUAGUUUGAAAGCUCUCUUGGUAGUACACAACUCCUUCAAGAAUUUGGCAUACUUAGGAAUUUGCUUGAUAGCAUCAAGCAAAGGAAUGUUGAGUUCUACUUUCUUGAAAACCUCUAAAAUCUCUUUUUCUUUGUCCUCUUUCUUUGACCUAGAAGAACUCACAGGAAAGGGUGGAAUUGUUUUAAAACUGGAAUUCAUUGAGUGAGGAGUUACCUUUGGAGUGUUGGUCGAUGUUUCAGUUUGUGGAGGGGGAGGAUGUUCUUUCUUUGUACUCAAUUCAGUUUCUAUCUCUUCUUCUUUCUCCAUCUUAAUUUGUUUCGACGUUUUUGCUUCAAGUUCAUUCUCACUUCGCAGCAUGAUCGCACUAACAUUCUCUUUUGGAUUCAAUGCUUGGAAGGACAAUUUUCCAUUCAUUUGUGCUUCCAAUUUCCCCACACUUGAAGCUACUUGCCCCAUUUGCUUCUCCAAGUUGUGAAUACUUGACCUUGUUUCCUGUUGAAAAGACAUGACAUUUUGUUGCAAGGUCACAGUGUUAGAAGCCAAAGUUUUUAUCAUCUCAUGAAGAUCAUCACUGGAUGACGACCCCAUAACAUUGGAGUUUGUGAAUGGAAGGGGCUGUCUCGCUUGAUAAUUCUGUGGGGAUUGAAAUCCAUGGGGAUGGAAUUAUCGGCCUUGAUUGCCUUGUUGAGGUGGGUUCCCAUAGCAUAAGUUUGGAUGAUCUCUCCAUCCGGGAUUGUACGUGUUGGAAAAGGGAUCAUGUUUACGUUGGGGCUGUCCGUUAAAUCCUCUAUCAACUACAUGAACCUGUUCAAUGUAAUCUUCUUGCAUUGUUGGGCACAUAUCUGAGGUAUAUCCUUAUAAGGAACAUAUGCUACAAACUUUCACCUGCUGUACAUUUCCACAAGCCAAAGAACGCACAAGAGAAGUAAGAUCAUUAACUUUAUUUUCAAGGUUAGAAAUACUUACCUCAUUUACUCGUUUGUUUGCGAAGUCUCCACGCGUGCCAAAUUGUUUCGAGUUGGCUAGCUGCCAUGUUUGAGAUCAAUUGGCGUGCAGCCUCGGGUGUCUUAUCUAUCAAUGCCCCUCCACUUGCAGCAUCAAUGAUAGUAUGGUCAGAGGCAUGAAUCCUUCAUAGAAAUAUUGAAUGAGCAGCUGAUCGGGUAUUUGAUGAUGAGGGCAUUGAAUGCACAGUUGCUCAAAUCUUUCCCAAUACUCGGAAAAUGUCUCUCCAUGAGAUUUUCGAAUCCCACAUAUUUCUUUCCUUAUGUUGGCAACUCGAGAUGCUAGGAAAUACUUUUCAAGGAAAAUCUUCUUCAUGGCAUGCCAAGUUCCAAUGGAACCCGGGAGAAUAGAGAAAAACCAUGCAUUUGCUGCCCCUUUUAAAGAGAAAGGGAAAGCUUUCAACUUAACCUGUUCUUCAUCAACUCCAUUUGGUUUCAUGCCAACGCAAACCAUAUGGAACUCCUUGAGAUGAGUAUGAGGAUCGUCACCUGCAAGACCAUUGAAUGUUGGUAGCAAAUGUAUAAAACCAAAUUUGAGCUCAAAGUUUACAUUAUUGUCGAUGUUGAUGCACAAUGGUUGAUUUUCCACGUUAGGAGUAGCAAGCUCCUUGAGUGUUUGUUGUCGUUCAACAGCCAUGGUGCCAUGGUGUUGACGCGAGGUUCCUUUCGUAACCUGCGUAAAGUGUUUUCUAUUUCGAGAUCCACCUGCACUUGAAUCUGGUUAGUAGAACGGGUUACAAUCAUAAAUCGUCAAGAAAACUCAAAAGAAACCAACCACGCAAGAAAUCGAAAACAAUGCAAAUUGUACGAAAAUCCUAUGCUAGAAAACUAAAACUGCCUAAAAACCCUAGAAAACAAAGGAAUUUGACCUCGAUAGGGUGGGGCUAGUGGUGUACCACAAAUCCUUCUAAAUAUUUAUCUCUUCUUAACAUUGGUUAGUUAACGGAUCCGCCGUAUAACUAACCAUAACCAUCAAACAACCACAGUGUCCACACUAGUAAUUUAAUUCAAUGGCAGCCUUAAAAACUAGAUAAGUUGAUUAAUCAAGAAAAGUCCACAGUUUAUGUUUGAUUUGAUUGAAUGUUCUCCCUAAGAUUAAUAACGUAGAUCCGCCACAAUUAUUAAACUUAGUUGCUUCACAAGUUCAUAUACCACAACUCCGGUUUUGAUAUCAAACUUAGCAAUAGAUUGUCUACAAUAAUAACUUAGAGCCCGCUCUAACAAUUAAAAUAAACAAUCAUAGGAAAAAUAAGCAUAGGAGAACAAACAUAUUCAUCAUAUAAACUGAAAAGAAAAGGUAAAAUAAAUCUCACAGUUCUUGAAAUCCGAAGGUUUAUAUGUCCUUGCAACCAAGAAAAAGAGUUUAGCCUUGCAUGUUUGUUGAACACCUAUCAAAAAGAAGGAAUGCAUGAUUUUGGGUUUCUUAGAGGAAGGGGCGUUUUUAUCUUCUUUGCUGGCUGCCCCCUUGAUGCGAUCCAACCAUCAAAGGAUCUAUUGGAGGUUCCAAUUGGUCUAGUUACUAGGCUUAGGGCUAAGAAGUUCAAAUAAGCUUUCAAUGGACUUUUUCAAGAUACAUGGGCUAAGGUGGACUUCAAGAGGAUUUGUAAUAAUAAAGAGCAAGCCUUGAUUAAUCCGAUUCAUGUUCAAGAGGGGCUUGUUGGUGGAACCAAGACCAUUACACAAGGAUUGGGAGAAGAAGACUAGAUUUAGACAGUUUGACCUUUCGUUACUCUUUUAUCCACAGUUAGACUUCCAUACCUUUCCAACGAUAUAUGGCAUGCUUUCUAAUUCAUUAAGACGAGAGAGAACCAUCCAUUUUAAGUUGGGUUUUGCUGCUGCCAGACAGAAUGCGGAAACAACGAACUUGUCUUAUUUAAUUAGUUGGGCUAUCAAACUUUAAUUAUUUUGAGAGGAGACAAUUUGUUUGGGUUUUAGACUUUUUUAUUUUAAUUAUUUUGGGUUAGUUUUAGCUUGGGUUGAUUAUUAUUUAAAUUGGGUUUAUGUGAGACCCAUUAGGGAAACUAGGGUUUUGGCUUGGAGUUUAAAUACUCUUUAGGAAUAAUUUUAGGUUAGACUUUUGAUGAUAUUUUCAGCCUUGUAGCCGACUUUUGGUUGCUCAAUCUUGGUUCUUGAUUGAACUUUCAACUCUUCAAAGAAUUGACAAUUCUUUGUUGUGAAUUUAUACUUCCUUUACUCGUCUUCAAGUGUAGGCGUUGUGAUCGAGUUGGUUUAUAGUCUUGUUGCCUUGGAGUAAGUCUUCCAUUAUGAUAAGCUCAUUCAAAUCUCAACAAACUUGGGUUAGAUUGAUCUUGGGGUCGCGAAUACCAUUAAAUUUCGCUUGUGUGAAUUUACUUCCAUAUUCAGUUUUUCAAAGUCUCAAUCUAGGUGAAUUAAAACCAACUUAUGUAACUCUCUUACUUGCUGAUAGAUCUGUAAAAGUGCCUAGAGGAAUAGUUGAAGAUGUGUUAGUACAAGUUGAUAAAUUCAUUUAUCCUGUGGAUUUCAUUGUCUUCGAUACACAACUUGUUGAAGCAUGUAAUUCAUUUCCUAUUAUUUUAGGACGUCCAUUUCUUGCAACUUCUAAUGCAUUGAUUAAUUAUAGGAAUGGACUGAUGAAACUAUCAUUUGGAAAAUUGACAUUGGAGAUGAAUAUUUUCAACAUUUGCAAGCAACCUGGAGAUGAUAAUGAUUUACAGGAAGUGGACUUUAUUGAAAAAUUAGUUUAUGAUCAAUUUCAAACCACUUCCAGUGAAACUGAGAUUGAUGAAUCUGACGAUUUGCAAAUGGUUUAUUUUUAGGAAGAAUUAAAGGCAAAUAGUUGGAGACCAAAAAUUAAGGAAUUGCCACCACGAUCAAUUGAGUCCAUACCUUCAAGUGUUCAACCACCAAAACCUGAUUUGAAGUCGUUACCAUUCAAUCUCAAAUACUCAUUUUUGGGAGAAAAUGAAACUUUUCCGGUAAUAAUCUCUUCCAAACUUAAUGCACAUCACGAAGGUAAGUUAUUACAAACUCUGAAAAUGCACAAAAAUGCAUUAGGAUGCACCAUAACUAACAUAAAAGGAAUUAGUCCUUUGAUUUGCACACACAGGAUUUAUUUGGAGGAAAAUGCUAAAUCCUCUAGAGAAAUGCAACGAAGGCUUAAUUCUAAUAUGAAAGAAGUAGUGAAAAAUGAAGUCAUUAAGCUUCUAGAUAAUGGAAUCAUUUAUCCUAUUUCUGACAGCAAAUGGGUAAGUCUUACCCAAGUUGUACCCAAGAAGUCUGGAGUCAUUGUGAUAACAAAUGAGAAAAAUGAGUUAAUUCCAACUAGGACUAUUACUAGUUGGCGCAUGCGCAUUGACUAUAGGAAACUUAAUUCAAUGACUAGAAAAGUUCAUUUUCCUUUACCUUUCAUGGAUCAAAUCCCAGGAAGAGUUGCAGGUCAUGAAUUUUAUUGUUUCCUAGAUGGUUAUUCAGGCUACAACCAAAUUGAAAUUGCAUUGAAAGAUCAAGAGAAGACUACUUUCACAUGUCCAUUUGGUACUUUUGCAUAUCGAAGAAUGCCUUUUGGAUUAUGUAAUACACCAGCCACAUUUCAAAGAUGCAUGCUCAGUAUAUUUAGUGAUAUGGUUGAACGUUUUCUUGAAAUUUUUAUGGAUGAUUUUUCUGUUUUUGGCGAUUCAUUUGAUGAUUGUUUGACUAACUUAGAAAAGGUUUUGAGCAGGUGUGAAGAGAAGAAUCUUGUACUGAAUGGGAAAAAAUAUCACUUUAUGGUAACAAACGGCAUUGUACUUGUUCACAUUGUUUCAUCGAAAGGAAUUGAGGUUGACAAAUCUAAAAUCGAGUUAAUUGCUAACUUGCUAACACCAAAAUAUAUUAAAGAUGUUAGAUCGUUCUUAGGACAUGCUGGUUUUUAUAGAAGGUUCAUCAAAGAUUUUAGUGUAAUAUCUAAGCCCUUGAGUAACCUUCCUAACAAAGGAUAAUAUUUUUGAAUGGACUAAACAUUGUGAAGAAGCAUUUGUUAAACUUAAAAACUUGCUUACUCAUGCUCAUGUCAUUCAACCUCCUUAUUGGCCAUUACCUUUUGAAAUAAUGUGUGACGCUAGUGAUUAUGUCGUGGGUGCUGUCUUGGGACAUAGAAAAGAUAAGAAAUCUUAUGUGAUUUACUAUGCAAGUAAAAACUUUAAAUAGUGCUCAAAUGAAUUACACCACCACUGAAAAAGAAUUACUUGUAGUAGUAUUUGCAUGUGAAAAAUUCAGGUCUUAUCUUGUCGACUCACCUGUUGUUGUUUUUAGUGAUCAUGCAGCAUUGAAAUAUCUUCUUUCUAAGAAAGAUUCUAAGACUAGAUUGGUGCGGUGGAUUUUGUUACUUCAAGAAUUUGAUAUCACAAUCAAAGACAAGAAAGGCACCGAAAAUAUUGUCGCAGGUCAUUUGUCAAGAUUGAUAACAGAUUCGAGAUCUGACAUCACACCAAUCGAUGACUACUUUCCUGAUGAAUCUUUACUUUCCGUCUCUACAAUGCCUUGUUUGCUAAUAUUGUUAAUUUUCUUGUUUCAAGACAUUUGCCAGCUCAUUGGAGUACCCAAGACAAAAGAAAGUUCUUGAACAAAGUGAAGAACUUUUAUUGGGAUGACCUUUAUUUAUUCAAAUAUUGUCCUGAUCAAAUAUUUCGAAGAUGCAUUCCUGACAAUGAGGUAAGUAGUGUCAUUAAAUUUUAUCAUUCUGAGCAUGUGAGGGUCAUUUCUCAUCAAGAAAGACAACUCCAAAAAUCUUACAAAGUGGAUUUUACGGGCCCACCAUGUUCAAGGACUCACAUGCAUUAUGCAAGACUUGUGAAAAUUGUCAAAAGCUGAGAUCUAUUUCAAAAGGUCACAUAAUGCCUUUAAAUCCUAUUCUUGUCAUUGAGAUCUUUGAUUGUUGGGGUAUAGAUUUCAUGGGUCCAUUUCCUCCAUCAUUUGGUUUCUUGUACAUAUUAGUCGUAGUAGAUUAUGUUUCAAAAUGGAUAGAGGCAAUUCCAAGUCGAAACAAUGAUCACAAAACAGUGAUAAAGUUUUUGAAAGAAAAUAUUUUGAGUCGAUUUGGAAUCCCUCGAGCCAUGAUAAGUGAUGGUGGAACACAUUUCUGCAACAAGUCAUUUGAGUCUUUAAUGAAGAAAUAUGGAAUCACACACAAAGUUGCCACCCCUUAUCAUCCUCAGACAAGUGGACAAGUAGAACUUGCUAAUAAGGAGAUCAAACAGAUCUUGGAGAAAACAGUGAACCCUAAUAGGAAAGACUGGUCUUUUUAAUUAUACACUUUGGGUUUAUCGAACUGCUUAUAAAACAUCAUUAGAUAUGUCACCUUAUAGAUUAGUCUAUGGAAAACCUUGUCACUUGCCUGUGGAACUUCAAUAUAAAGCUUAUUGGGCUAUUAAAGCUUUUAAUUCAAACCUUGAUGAUGCUAGUCAGCUGUGAAAAUUACAAAUAAAUGAGCUUGAGGAAAUAAGAAAUGAUGCAUAUGAAAAUUCAAGAAUUCAUAAAGCAAGAAUCAAAGAGUUUCGUGACAAGAAAUUACUGAGAAAAACAUUCAAUAUUGGUCAAAAAGUCUUGCUUUAUAAUUCUCGACUCCAUUUAUUUCUUGGAAAACUAAGGUCAAGAUGGAGCGGUCCUUUUAUUGUGAAACAUGUGUAUCCAUAUGGGGCCUGUAAUAUCGAGAAUCCAAAGAAUGACAAUGUUUUCAAGGUAAAUGGGCAUUGUUUGAAAGUUUACUUUGACAAUUUUUCAGUUGAAAAUGACUCUAUUCAAUUGAGUGAUCCUGUAUAUAAAGAUUGAUUCUUUUUCUCACAUUGUUUUUAUGUUUCUUUUUGGUGUGAAUUUUGUUUUGCUAGUCUCUCUCACCCUGGUCAAAUGGCGGAUAACGGCACUCCGUGACUCUUAAGUCGGUUCUUUCAGUUUCCCAUAAUAACUUAUAUUUGUGUAUAUAUUUGUGCAAUUCUUUGCUCUUUCUCCUUUAUUUGCAUCUCUUCUCCAAUUCUCAUUUGAAAAUGGACACCACUCUUGAAAAUUGAAAAAGUAUUUUCUCGUUUUGCCUCCAAAUGCGAUUGCAAAAAUUUACCGUGCUAGGUGUGCAAGAUUAAGGUUGUUAAUGAAUCAUGGAAUUCUUGAAGAUAUUCACUGGCUAAUUGAAGCAAAGGUCUGAUUAUCAGGUGAGUCCUCCAAUUCUUUCAUUUCAUACAUACCUGGAACAGGUAAAAGUGCUUUUGCAAAGAAACGUUAUGCAAAACGACUGAAAGUCUGUCACAAAUGUGUCAGAUGGACUUGUAAUGCAACAUGUCGUUCUUUAGAAAUGGUAUUUGUAAACCGUUAAGAUAAAAUACAAUUCAUUAAGGAUGACCUAAGUAAGGGGUCUUUAGAUAAUCUUCUAUUGACUCUUGAGACGCAUCCUAGUGGAGAUGUGCAUCGUGCAAUUCAUGAUUUAUGGCCACAAUUCCAUAAAGAACAUGCUCGACAUAGUCUUGGGAAUCUGACUAAAAAAGACCAUGUUUGCCAGUUUUUAAGAAAACUGGAUGGGAAGCCUAUCCCUAACCCAUAGAGGGCAUUUAAGUCGUUCUUGGACGUAAAACCAAAGGAAGAUGUGAGCCACAAUCACAACUACCUGUACAUACACAUGCUUUUUUUUCAAAUAAUAAUAAUAAUAAUAAGAGAGAGAGAGAGAGAGUGAGACUCCAGCUAGCCUACAUAUAGGUGGUAUGAUUGCAUUUUCAAUUUCUCAUCUAUAAAAUCUUCUCUUCCUUCCCUUCAUUUCUACUCAACCAAUACAUCAAUAGAUAUAGAAGUGUGUAGAAAUGGCAGGUUCCUCAAGUCAUCACAUAAGAAAUAUUUAUGUUUUCGGUAGAUCCAGCCUUGGGAAAGAAAAAGAGUUUUUAGAAUCAAUAAAUCAUCUUGAUUAGGUACUAGCUCAAAGAAAGAUUCAUUUAGUGUAUGGGGGAGGCAGCCUUAGGUUAAUGGGGGGUGUCAAUAGCUGCAUUUUUAGGAGACAAUCAAGUUUUGGGGGUUGUCCCCAAAGCUUUAGCAAAAGGGGACAUAAUUGGAAAAACAAUUGGAGAGGAACUGCAGGUCUCCACAAUGUCUGAUCGAAUGAAUGCGAUGUUUAACCAUGCUGAUGCCUUCAUUGCUUUACCAGGUGGUCUGGGAACAUUAGAAGAGAUCUUUCAUAUUUCCUCUUGGGCCCAACUACACAUUCACCAUAAACUUAUAGGUUUGUUAAAUGUUAAUGGUUUUUAUGAUAAUUUGUUGUCUUUUCUUUAUCAAGCUGUGGAACAACAAUUUCUAACAUCUUCGGCACGAUAAAUCAUAAUCUCUAUUGUUACUACUGAACAAUUGAUUGACCAACUACAAUUUUUUCAUCCCUGUAAUUGAUCCCUACAUGAGUCGUAUAAAUUGGUCAAUUAAGGAAAGCCGUAAAAAGCUUAGAUUGGAUUUGAGCUUUCGUUUGUGAAACCUUGUGUCCUUUGGUUUUAUUAAUAGCAUAUUAUUUUGUUUUGUUAUUUCUUAUAUUUGUUUAAGUGUGUUUCAGGUUUGUUAGUGUUCGAUGUUUCAGGUGAUGUCUUCUAUACUCUAUCUUUCUACCUUAUGACAUUGAAGACAAUGUCACGUUUUGGUUGGGGGGAGAGGGUAGUAGUUGACAUAAAAAAAAACUAACUUACUAACUAUUUUUACUAUUAUUAAAACCAUUUGACAGAACUGUUAUUAGGAUGGCAGAGUAAGGAGGAAUUUUAUUAACUCUUGAAAUGCAUCUUAAUAAAUAUUCUUAUCAAGGUCUAUCAGAAUACUUAUUAAAAUAUUCAGGUUUACAAACUCUCGUAUUGUUAUCACUUGAUUAUGCUCAUAUACUCAUUUAACAAGUAUUCUUAAACCUUCAUUUUCACACACACACUUUAACAUAUGAUUGUGGGUUGCACAUUGGAUUAUUAUAUUAUUUAUGUUCUUUUGUUAAAGGUAACAACUAAGGGAAAGGGAUAGUAUAUAAUUUGCAAAAAAAAAAAACACAAACAAAUUGAUAAUAUUGAUGAUAAUAAAAACGUAGAUAAGUUUGGUUUCGUAGCCUCCCUAACUUAAAACAAUUAAGCCCGAAUGGGUGUUUUAACACCUAAUACCCUAAAGUCAACUGAUUUGGGAGCUAUUGGCCCAAAGUUUGUUACAUGGGUUAAGGAGAAAAGCUUAAGGGAAUGAAACAUUGCACUAUCUACGUAUCAGUAUCUACAACCCGAGUUACUAAGCUCGUAGGGGUGUCUCAACACCUAAUGCCCUAAGACUAACUGGUCUGGGAGUCAUUAGCCGAAAGCUCGUUAUAUGGGUUAAAGAUGCAUUAUGUUUUAUGUUUUAAGUUAUAUAUAUAUAUAUUUAAAAAAAGAGAGAAAAAAAAAAGAUAAUAAUCUUAACCCAAGGAAGUUAACCUUAAACAUUAGAACAUAAUAUUGUUUUCUUCCAAUAAAAGCCUCAUCAUCUAUGUUUUCAUACAUUGGGCACAUAAAAAGGAAGGUUUAUUAAUAUUUUGUUUAAGAGGUAUUGAGCAGAUAUAUAAAUUUAAUGAGAGUUUGUUUAUUUGAAUAGAUUAAUGGAAGUUGAAUGAUGAAUGCCUUGCUUUGUGGAACUUGCAAAUUGUUUUUCUAUUUUAACACUUUAAUUACUAGGGACUAGUAAUAAGCUAGUUGGGGGGUGCGAUUAGUACUUAAAAGUGCAUUUUUAUCAAGGUUUUAUAUCAUUAUUUUGCACUUGAAGUAUCAAUAACUCAUUAACUAGAGCAUGUUUUAUAAUAUCAUGUCUAAUACUAUAAGAUACCUUUAAUUUAUGGUAAAUGUUCAUCUUAAAUACAGGCCUAUCACAUAAAUGAAGGGAUUGAUUGAUGAGUUUAACUACUGAAAUUGAGAAGACAAGGAGAGGGCUAAACGUAGAAAAGAGAUGCUGGUUCAUUCCAAACUAAAACAAUGUUCAGUCAUUAGGUCAUAUCCGGAGAUGUAGAUCUUGGAUUUCAGUUUGGUUUAUAUGGCUAGAAAGCUAAGACAUAGGCCUAAAAGAUUUAGGAACAGUCCAAGACUCAAUUAUGCUAUUUGGAAGUCCAAAUCUUAGCAUCAAAAGAGAAGUCUGAAUCUGUCCUGCAGCCCAGAUAUUGUUCAGUGUUCAGCCCAUAUCUCAAGUUCUAGAAGUCCAAAUGCACUGUUUCUUUUUCUGUUGGAAAGCUGAGAUAAUUUCCUAGAACUUUCAUGAAGACAGUCUGUUCAAAUUCUUACGUUAGCAAUGACGUUUUGUUCAGACAAGAAGAUAAUGAUUGUCACCAAGUCAAGAUGUGGCCACCCACUCAACAAUUAGUCAUCAAAUCAAUAGUUCCAAAUUCUGGCCUAUAAAAGGAGGCAUUUGUCAUGCAUUUAGGCAUCUUGGUUUUCAUAUCAAGAUCAUUUCCUUACUUGCAUUUUUUCUUUGUAGUUUUAAUGUUCUAGUUUUAUUUCAUGUUAUAGUUUCAUUAAUAUCUUGUUUAUGCCUUUCAUUUCCUUUACUAUACUUAUAUAAUCAUGUUCUCCUCUUGUUUAUUUAUGUUUCUCUUCUUCAAUAUGUUUAGUUAAGUUUAUUAUGUCAAGGUGAAAAGGUUUCAUUAAUGGUGUUAGGAUAAGUAUAAUAUAAACUCAAUAUGGACUUCAAUGAUUAUAUCUUAAACAACCUACUAUUAACAUGUCUUAUUAUUUUUAUCUUAUUAAUUCUUAAUACCUUGCUUGUUAAAUAGUUAAUCUAAAUUUGUGUUGUAUGACACUUGGCACAACAAAUACUUGGCACUUUCAUAGCCAACCGUAUGGUAUAACCUACACCUAUGCUAUGAAAGGAACUUGAUUUGUUAUUAACAUAAGUUAGCAUCAUGAAUUCCUGACAAUAUUUAAAAGUUUGGUGUUACUUAAAUAAGAUAAUUAAUAUGAUCAUGUUAAUAAUUUAUAAUGAGCUAUUAAUGACAAAUCAUCUGAUUGGAACCUCCUUUGUGUGUGGUUUCUAGUUGAGUAAUAAAAAGAGUUUAUAUUAUACUUAUUUGAAAUAACAUUAGUGGAUCCUCUAACCUUGACAACUGUUUUUAUCAUUGUUUAAUCUUCACAUUAAUCUUACAUCUCAAAGUCCUCUUUAACUCAUCAUCACCACCACCACCACCAUCAUCAUCAUCAUCAUUUAUAAUUUAUAUAGUUAAUCUCCCUAUGGUUCAACCUCGGUCUUGCCGGGUUAUUUAUUACUUCGACACUUCUACACUUGGAAGAAGACAUCAAUCUUUUGGUCGUGUCAGCAAUUCAUAAUGUUUUAAAGAAAAAAAACUACAAUGUUAAAUUUUCAACCAACUCAAUAUUAAAAAAAUAAAAUCAACAAAGAUAAUUUUGGAAAAAAUCAUAAAAAAAAACAAAAAAAAUCAUGAAAAAAACAAAGCAAAAAAAAACAAAAAAAACCAUGUAGGGAAACACUGUAGCAAUCCACAAUGUUUUAAAGGAAAAAAACUACAAAGCUAAAUUCUCAACCAACUCAAUAUUAAAAAAAUAAAAUCGACAAAGAUUAUUUUGAAAAAAAUCAUUUUAAAAAAUAGCUCCAACUCAUCCCACACAACACCAUAACAUUUCAACCACCACCAUAGACUAAGCAACAACAUAAACAAAAACUAGAAGCACAACCCCAUCCUCCACUCUUUCCUUUCCCGUGAUCACCUUCUUUCUCGCUACCAACCGAAGAGUGCUACAAUACUCGCUUCAUAUAGCGAGUACUGUUCAUAGUGUUAGAAUGGGUAGCCAAAUAGAGAGUAACAAUGUUAUUUUUUUUUCCACUCAUACAGUCAUACUAACUAUUAUAGCUCAGAUAAAGUUGAAGCCAUCCUUGCUAAAGCACAAGCAACACCCAAUGGAAUUGUCAUUGUGUCAUAGUAUAUUUAAAAGAGUAGGGGAGUUGAGGUGAGUUUUUUUACUUGGAUUGUGAUUGUGAUGUAGUUGCAUUGGUAUUUAAAAUCUCAUCUAAAAGAGAGAUAUUCCUUAGAUUAGUUGUUUUUAUAUGUUUUAAGUUUGUUAAUUUUUAGUUAAUGAAAUUUUAUGGACACAAUUGUAUUGUAUUUUUAAGUUAUUUAAACUAUGUAUGAAUUUUUAUUUGAAUUAUGUAUUUUAAGGUGUUAGGACUUCUAUAUUGUUUAUUUAACUUUUUAUUUUAAUUAUGCUAUAUUAUUAUUUAUUAUUUGACUGAAAUUAUCAAUAUAUAAUUAGUUAAAAUAUUUUACCUACGAUUUUACUAUUCAAGUUUAUAUUGUAUAUUCCGUGUCAUGUCAAAAAAAACAUUUUUGACAACUUCGGACUUAACAAUUCAUGUAAAAAAAAUUUUCUUGAUGUUUAAUAUUUUUUUUCCUACCCUAAAUGCGAGCAUGGAAUCUCCAAAUUAAGCAGCUCCAUCUUUUUCAUUGCAAAUUCAGUCGUUUUCAAAACCACAUCAAAUCUUGAAUUUUGCUAUUUCAACACCUUUAUUUUUGAAUUUGGAAUUACGUUUAAAAUAUUUAACUUGAAAAAACAUUAAAUUUGUAUUUUUUUAGUGUUUUCAAGUAAAAAACACUUCGCACUAAAAUACUAAAUACUAAAUACGCACAAAAACAUAGUUUGUUUUUGGAUAUGCAAAAUUGCUUCCCCUCGUUUCUCAUCAGCCAAGAAAACUACAAUAGCAUAUGAUAUAAAAGAUUAGCACACAUGACAAAUUCCCCUCAACAAAUUAUUAAGACUUUUACUUCUUUUGAAAACAGUCUCAAAAUAACAGUACUAGUCUAAAGUUUCAUGUAAAUUUUUUUUCUUGAUGUUUAAUAUUUUUUUUCCUACCCUAAAUGCGAGCAUGGAAUCUCCAAAUUAAGCAGCUCCAUCUUUUUCAUUGCAAAUUCUGUCGUUUUCAAAACCACAUCAAAUCUUGAAUUUUGCUACUUCGACACCUUUAUUUUUGAAUUUGGAAUUACGUUUAAAAUAUUUAACUUGAAAAAACAUUAAAUUUGUAUUUUUUUAGUGCUUUCAAGUAAAAAACACUUCGCACUAAAAUACUAAAUACGCACAAAAACAUAGUUUGUUUUUGGAUAUGCAAAAUUGCUUCCCCUCGUUUCUCAUCUGCCAAGAAAACUACAAUAGCACAUAAUAUAAAAGAUUAGCACACAUUACAAAUUUCCCUCAACAAAUUAUUAAGACUUUUACUUCUUUUGAAAACAGUCUCAAAAUAACAGUACUAGUCUAAAGUUGAGAGAACAUACCUGUCAAAAUCAUCAAUUACUCUCUCCCUUGCCUAUUAAAAGUUUAUAUGCCUUUGAAGUUUGAACCAUACCUCAAAAAACUAGUCUAAUCCAACCCUAAAAUAGCCCAUACCAUGAAGCCAAUCUUGCACAUACCUCAUUUUUUAUUUAACAGUUAUUUACAAAAAAAAAAUGGUAAAUUUUAUUUUAAUCCUUAUAGAUUCUAAAAUGUUCAACUUUAAUGAAUAUAGUUUAAAGCCCUUUCAUAUCAAUCUCAUAAUUCUAAAAAAAUUUCAUUAUAAUCAUGGUUGUUAAAUUAGUAAGAGAAGCGAAAGACCAUUUUUUUGGAUUUUCCCACUUGAGCUUUUACAAGAGAAGCGAAAGAAAUAGGAAAAAGAGAAAUUAAGACAAACAAAAAAAUAUAUUUAAAAAAUAAGGUUAAUUUCACUAAGUCUCCUAUAAUUUAAAUAUUCUCUUAAUUUACCAUGUUUUUCAAGAAAAUAUAUUCUUCAAUUCAUAAAACUUUAUAUUUUCAUGUUAACUCAUUGUUUGUUAACAAAUUUGUUGUUAUUAUUAUUGAAAAAUUCAAAGCUUGUAAGUAAAAUAAAAAACACAAAAUCAAAAAUAAAAUCAAUCAUGCUUCCACACUUACUCCACUAAAAUACCCAAUUAAAACUCCUUUACUCAAAAGCUCAUUUUCUAACCUCAAUCUAGAAAAAAUAAAAAUAAAAAUUAAGUACUUUCCUCUUUCUAUCCUUAUCUCACAUUUAAGUUCUCUCCCUCUUCGCUAACUGUCCUUCUCUGCAAAAUCCCAAAAACCCUAGGGCCCUUUCUGUAUUUUCAACACUCCCAAAAACUAAAAAAAACUUCCUCAUUUUUUUUUUUUUUAAAUCUCAAUUUCCAUAAGUUAGGGGUUUUUACAUUUCCAUACGGUUCAGUCACAAUUACACAUUGAUAGAUUAGGAUUAGAUAGCGAGAGUUCAAAUAAACCGAAAGAAAGACGCAAAUCGUGACCGUUAGGUUUUUUUUGGAUCUGAUCAUGGACGCACGAGAUUCGACAUCGAACCGAGACGUCUCGUCGAGCGGCGGCAGCGGCACCACCACCGGCGUCGGAGGAGGAGAAGAGGAUCCUAUCCUUUCCGUCACUGCCACGCUUGCCAAAGACGCUUGGUUACACUUUAACUCUCGCCGGUUCAAUGAGUGCCUCGAGGUUUUGUAUCAGCUAAAGCAGAAAAAGGAAGACGAUCCAAAGGUGAUAAUUACACAAAUAAUAUAAAGUCACUUUUUUUUUGUCGGAUUUUAUCUGAUUAGAAAUUAAGUUUACUUCGAGUAAAAUGUUGUAAUGGACUGUUAAUUUUGUGAUUUAACUCACUUAAUUGAGUUGCUGCCUUUUAAUUUUAAUGAAUUUUGAUUAAGUUAGUUAAUUAUUCACUCACUUAAUUUAGUUGCUACUUUUUAUUUCUUAGUAUUUUUUUAGAUUAAGUUAGUUAAUUAACUUGAAAAGCUUAAUUUUGCACUUUAUUUAGUUAGUUCAAAUUUAAGGACAGUAUCUAGGCGGGCACGCGAAUGCUGAAGUUAUGCAAUGUAUUAGGGUAUUUGGAAUAUGUAAUUGAUGUGAGAAUUUUCUCUUCUUUUCGUUUUUUCUCGUUCCUUUUAAGUUUGUAAUCUCUGGGUUAUGCUUUAUUAGGUACUUCGUAAUAUUGCUAUUGCGGAGUAUAGUAGAGAUGGUUAUCCAGAUCCAAAGAAGUUGCUUGAAGUGCUUAAUAACAUUGAGGUAUGUUAUUUUUGUUAUGUUUUUGUAAUAUUGGCUGGAGGGAGGCAGUGCUAUUAGUUUGGUUUUGGCUCUGUGUGAAGAUGGGUUUGUUCUUUAAUUAUCAGAGGAUAGAGAUUUCAAAGGGAAAAAUUAUGUUGCUGAAUUGAAUUUUACAUGCAAUGCAUUAGGGUAUUUGGAAUAUGUAAGGACAGUAUCUAGGCGGGCACACGAAUGCUGAAGUUAUGCAAUGUAUUAGGGUAUUUGGAAUAUGUAAUUGAUAUGAGAAUUUUCUCUUCUUUUCGUUUUUUCUCGUUCCUUUUAAGUUUGUAAUCUCUGGGUUAUGCUUUAUUAGGUGCUUCAUAAUAUUGCUAUUGCGGAGUAUAGUAGAGAUGGUUAUCCAGAUCCAAAGAAGUUGCUUGAAGUGCUUAAUAACAUUGAGGUAUGUUAUUUUUGUUAUGUUUUUGUAAUAUUGGCUGGAGGGAGGCAGUGCUAUUAGUUUGGUUUUGGCUCUGUGUGAAGAUGGGUUUGUUCUUUAAUUAUCAGAGGAUAGUGAUUUCGAAGGGAAAAAUUAUGUUGCUGAAUUGAAUUUUACAUGUUAGAUUUUGAGAGCAAGAGAUUUCUAGUGGUGCUGCAGUCUAUACAUUUAGUUCAUUGUGGAAGGAUGCUAUGUACAGUCAUAAGAAUCUGCUCCUGCUUUCACAGUAGCAAUCACGGGUAUAAUUUACGUGUAUAACAAGUGUUCAGCAUUGCAGAGGUCAUCUCUGAGACACACUUGGAGUUGUGGGCAUUGGAUAGUUUUAUAUGAUAGUUAUUUCUUUGAUAAUUUACGUGUGCAUAUUUUAUUGUAUUGAAAUUCAAUGGAGUAAUUUGGUCUGUCAUUUCAGUCUUGUAUUAGUAUCAUACUGUCAUUGUUUGUUUCUGUUGAUUUCUUGAGCUAGAUAUGGUCUUCUAUCCUGCCAUAUGUAAGUUGGAAAGCUGUUAACUCAGUAAUGUAUUUACUAGAUUGUAUUUUUAUGCCAUUGAAAAUGAUCCUGGAAUUGCUUACUUGAAUCCUAAUCAUGUUUGCAUCAAUGUAUAAAUAGAUUAUUUUGGGAAUGAAUUACCAUCUCAUAAUACCCAUUUAGGUAUCUGCUUCAAUCUAUUAACAAUGUACCACCUGGAUGUUUUCCCUACUAUGCUGUGUUUGGAAUUUUCUGUGAGCUGGUAUGAUACUAAAAGAAAUCCAUUCCAACCCAUUUCAUUUUUUGAUACCUCCCUCUUCUUCGUCCCUUAAUAUUCAAUUUCAAUUUUUUUUCUAUCAAAUUCAAUCUACAUUCUUUUAAUUGUUAUUUCUUUUGUUUUGGAUACUUUUUUUAUUCAAUUUCACCCCUCAAUAUUUUAUUUAUUUAGAAUUUUGCUUUGUUAUUUUUAGGGUUUGCCAUAUUGUGAAAAGAAUCACAAUGAUAAUAAAAGGGGGGGGGGGAGUCCAAAUGUGGGCUAAAUGCCUGUUUCCGAAAGAAGAAAAAGUCCUAAAGUCACACGUACCAAUUGAAGGGACGGUGGGCCGAGUCACAAUAAUUUUAAUUCUAGUAUAGUAUUUAACAUCAACCAUGGAUCCUAAAGGCUAAAGUCCAUAUAUAUAUACUCAUAAGAAAAAAAAAAAAAACUAUCGUGCUUGCCUAUCUCCUUAAAAGUUUCGAAUCCUUAAACAAAGUGUUUGCCUUUUAGGUCCAAUUAGGGUUUUGGGUUUGCUUCCAAGCCCAAAAUCGAUCUCUCUCUAGUUUGUUUGCCUCCAUUCAUUCGUAUCAGUGGUUGUCUGCAUAGCAUGUUGAAAAUAUUCUGUAUGAGUAUAUCUCCUUGCAAUUUAAAUUGUCCAUGCUUCCUGCAUGAAAUCCAUUUGUGAUAUCACCACAUUGAAAUUAGUAUUUUAUGCCGUGUUCAAAUCUUAUAAUAAAUGUGCAGUCACGUUUCAUUUUGCUGUAUAAAGUAGGAAUUCUUUUUUUUUUAACCAGAUUGCAACACUUGAAGAGAAUAAUCAGCUGAUGACACCUCCAGAAAACCAGAUGGCAACCCUUGAAGACAAUAAUCACUUGAUUACUACUCCAGAAUACCAGCUGGCAACCCUUGAAGAGAAUAACCAGCUGAUUACUACUCCAGAAUACCAGAUGGAAACAUUUGAAGAAAACAAUCAUUCUAUGCCUGCUCCUGAAACACAGCCUAACAAGAGGAGGAAAAGGAAGUCCAUGGUUUGGGAACACUUCACCAUAGAAACUGUAAGUGCUGAUAGUAGAAGGGCAUUCUGUAAGCAGUGCAAGCAAAGCUUUGCAUACAGCACAGGUUCAAAAGUAGCUGGUACCAGCCAUCUUAAACGUCACAUUGCCAAGGGAACUUGUCUAGCACUACUACGCAAUCAGGGGAAUCAACAAACACCUGGUACACCAGGGAUGAAUGGAAAUGGCAGUAUGUCUGAUCCACCAAGACGUCACUACAGAUCCCAUAGCUCAGCCUACAUUUCAUUUGAUUCAGACCGUUGCCGCCCUGAAAUUGCCAGAAUGAUGAUAAUCCAUGAUUACCCUCUUCACAUGGUCGAACAUUCUGGAUUUGUAACUUUUCUCAAGACUCUUGAACCCAGAUUUGACAUGGUGAGCUUUAAUAUUGUCCAAGGAGAUUGUGUCUCAAGUUACUUGAGGGAAAAGCAAAAUGUUAUGAAGUUCAUUGAGGGUUUGCCCGGACGUGUUUGCCUUACACUGGAUGUAUGGACAUCUAGCCAAAGCUUAGGUUAUGUGUUUAUAACAGGACACUUCAUUGAUGGUUAUUGGAAGCCACAGAGGCGGAUUCUCAAUGUUGUGAUGGAACCGAACCCUAACUCAGAUGCAGCUCUUAGCCAUGCUGUUGCUACUUGCCUAUCUGAUUGGAGUUUGGAAGGCAAGCUAUUUUCUAUCACUUUCAAUCAUCCAGUGGGUGAACCUGGGCUUCAAAACCUCAGAUCUCUACUCUCUGUAAAAAAUCCCCUUAUCAUCAAUGGUCAGUUAAUCCUUGGGAACUGCAGUGCUCGUACUUUAAGCAACUUUGCAAAAGAAGUGCUAUGGGCAGGGCGAGAGAUCAUUAAGAAAGUCCGUUACAGUGUAAAGUAUGUGAAGACCUCAGAAUUUCAUGAGCAAAAGUUCCUUGAGCUCAAGGAACAGCUUCAAGUCCCCAGUGAAAAAGACCUAUCUCUUGACAACCAAGCUCAAUGGAACACAACGUAUCAGAUGCUGGUUGCUGCUUCAGAGUUGAAGGAAGUAUUUUCUUGCCUAGAUACUUCCGAUCCUGAUUACAAAGAGGCUCCAUCCAUGGAAGACUGGAAGCGGGUUGACAUUCUAUGCACGUACUUGAAACCUCUUUUUGAUGCAGCCAACUUCCUUGCCUCUAGAACUAACCCAAACCAGAAGACAUUCUUCCACGAAGUCUGGAAGAUGCAUGAGCUGUAUCAUUCUAUUACAAGUCAUGGGGAUCCCUUU